UUUUUUUUUUUUUUUGGUUUGUUUUACUUUUGAUAUUUGAUUUAGUUUUGUUUCCUUGAUUUCAGGUACUAGAGAAUUAAGACAUGGAUUUUGCUACCAUUCAAGCACAAUUGGUGAAACUUACUUCUCAAUUGUCACAAUAUGCCGAAAGGAUCACAAUGCAAAGUGUCCCUUCAUAUGGUGUGUCCUAUGGGCAAGGAUAUCCAACUCAUCAAUGUUCUCAAUUCGCUGCGAAUGAAGAUGCUUGGGGUUAUCAAGGCCAUAGCCAAUCAUGGGACAACAUGUUUUCCAACGCUUACAAUUCGGAUUAGAGAGAUUAUUCAGAUUACAUGUGGGGAGAACCUCAACAAUUCCAACAAGAUGGAUAUUGGCAGCAAGAAGAUGAGUUCUAUUCAAGACCUAUGCAGCCACCACAACCUCCACCACAACAAUUCCAAUUAAAUUCAAGUAUGCCUAUGAGUUGUGAUGAAAUUCUUGAUGUACUAACCUCUUUGACGCAGAGCUCACAACAAGAAGAAUAUUUGCCACUAUCGAAUGAGUUCUAUCAUUGGCCAUAUGAACCAUCACAGCCACCACAAUAAUCUGCCCAAUUCAAUUCAGGUACGUCUUUGGAUAAUGAUAUGUUUAAUAAGUUACUCACGCUUUGAACCAGGAAGUAGAAAAUCGAAACAAAGAAAUGCAAAAUCAAGCCAAUAAGACGGGGUGAAUUGGAGAAGCAAAUUGGGCAGAUUAUGGAGUUCAUGGCAUAAAUUCAAGAGCAAAGUGAACUCUCAAACUCAACUAUUGAAAAUUUGAAGGAAGAUUUUUUAAUCCAUGAUGCUAUCACUUUGGGAAGUGCUAUGGAGGUUGGAGGUGAACCCAAGACAUCCAAACCAAACCAAAACAUGAAUGAACAGCUACUGCUUAAGAAGAGGAGAAUAACAAGGCCAUGGCAAGGGAAGAACCACCUUUGCCGCAUCCCCAUAUGCCCUCUAUGUCGUCCACUACAACUAAGGUAAGUCUAAAUUCAAUUUGUCCUGACCCCGUUUCACCAAAUGUCCUUAUUCCUUGCAGGAUCAUGCAAUCCAAGGAAGAAGAGGGUGAGAAAGGCAUCUUCGAAACCUUUCCAAAGAAUCAAGAGCAAGAAGUGGAUGGGGAAUGUCUAGAAUUCAUCAAAGAAGAUACACUUAAGACAAAAAUUCCCAAAAAAGUUGGAUUUUAUGACACGGGAAAAGUCAUAACUCUCAAAACACCAAAUCUGGCCAAGUCCCAUAUCUUUGCAACCUUCAAAGAUGUGGUGUUCGUAAUUGAGUUUGUGUUGGACCAAGCAAGUAAGCCAUCUUUUCCAACUUCGAUUUUAUUAUAUACUAACUUGCUGAUUUUGAUGAUUCAGGCACAUACACUAGAAUUUAAACCAUUGCCGGAUCACGUUAAGUAUUACCUUCUAUUCAAGGAUCAAUUCCAUGCUAUGGGCCCUAUCCAAGUUUAGAAGGAAGUUUCGUCCGGCUGGAAGAUGUUAAAGCAAGCGCUUCUUGGGAGGCAACCCAUGUAUUCAAAUGAGGAAGGUUUUUGAAUCGCUCCACAAUCAAUUUUGUGUUUCUAAAAACCUUCCCUUUUCUGCAGUUUUAUUUUGCCAUGAUUGUCAUAUUUAUUUGUUGCUUGUUUAAAUGUUUUUGGUGUGGGUUUAUUUUUGAAACAUUGACAGAUAUGCAAGGUAUUUUUACAUUCAUGUUCAUGAAGAAAAAAAGGAACAUUAAGCAGAAAAUACAAGAGGAAGCCUUCACAAAGGCUGCUUAGGAGAAGUCUCAGUAGUCGGCGGAGCCCUAGAAGGAGAAGGCAUCGGAGGUUGAUCAUUUGGGGCUUCAUUACGCGGUACAGCCCCAGAAGACGAAGGCAAAUGCUGUUGGAACAAACCCACAAACCUCUGAUGAUCAAGUAAAAUCUGACCAUCAAAUUCCUGCAUCUGGUCAAUCUUCAUCUUCAUGUUUGUAGCAUAGUCAUGUGCGAGCUUGUGCAACUGUUUACUCUCGUGCUUGAGCCCUUUAAUCUCAUGUUUGAAACUCAUCACUUCAGCCGCCAACGAUUCAACUUGACGGGUUCGAGCAAAUAGGCACUUGCCAUAUUAGACACAAAACAUGCACACUGCACACUGAGAGCCAGAGAAUCCUUAACAGCCAACUCAUCAGACUGUUUGGAAAGCAAUCUGUUAUCUUUGAGAGUGACAAGGUUCCGGGCCACCAUCGCAGCAGUCAUAUCAUUCUUCAUCAUCGAAUGCCCAACGGUAAGAUGACCAGUAGGGGAUAUGAAGGAAAGGCGCCAUAUGUUGUCUGGAGAAGGCAUGGCUGCCUCUUCACCAAGGUUCAUGCCAAAACGACGGUCGGAGGGGCCAGACAUUUUCAAAGGUGUUGAAGAAAGAAGAGGUCGGACAAGUCAAGAUCGUAGAAGUGCAAGAAAGGAGUUUCUACAGGCAGAAAUUCAAAUGUGCUUUGAAACGUACUGCGCGCCUCUAUAAAUCGGAGAGGCAUUUGCUUUUCCAGACAUGUCAGCAUCUGUCACAUGCAUACUCAGCUUUGUGGAAAUCACGGGCAGUUUGUCGAAGCGCAGAUUCUAGAUAUCGAAGAGGCACUUGCUUUUCCAGACGUGUCAGCGCCUGUCACAUGCACAUUCAGCCUUGCGAAAACUACGGACAAUCUGUCAAAGAUUUCUUGUGAAGUAGAAGGCACGUGAAGUUUACUGUUAAAUCAUCCAACGGUUGCCGACAAGAGUGAAAUAAUAGUACCGGUUAUUAAUUCCUAUAAAUGUCAACCUUCACCCUCCAUUGCAAGGCAGACAUACAUAACCUUUCUUCAUUUCCGAGAAUGUCUUCCCAAUGAAGCCUCUCGAGUCACUCAGUGUUCCUUAUUCAUUGGGGUACCUCUGCAAACAACUCAUCCAAAGAAAAAGUAUUUCAUAUCAUGAAGGUUGAAAGCAAGAGUAUCUCAUAUCAUGCUUUCUCCCUGUCCUUCUCCAUGUCGUUGUUUUCAUCUGGGGGACAAGGAAAAAGAGAGCAAUUAGCCACCACUUGGUAUCAAUCUUCCGAUCUGGAACUGACUGCCUGGAACCCCUUCCUGAUUGCUUACCUAGCCUUGCUCUCGAGUACUCAUCUUCAACAUCUUAUGCUUCCUCUUCGUCUACCACAUCUGCCUAGGGAACAUAUAAGGGAAGUGAAAAUGAUACCUCGAAGCAUGUGGAGACAAUGUGCUAAUUCAUCCUCAGCUAGGGACAAGGAGAAAGAAUGCAAAUGGUGGGCACUUGGAAAGAUUGAAGAAAGAAAUAGACCAUCACUUCUACCUUGUGCCUGCCUGUCGUGCAGAAGAAACAAGCAGAGAAGAAUGCAGACUGCACAAUCAAAUCAACCCAGAAGAAAGAGUCUGAUUUGAAACCAAGGAACUUUGAUAUUCCUCGCUCAGAAUUCCAAACCAGUUCGAGAUCAAAGCUGUGGAAAGUCGCCAAGAUCAGCUAUCUCCAAAACCAGAUUUGCAUUCUUAAACUCUACUCUGUCUGGUUUUUACUUUACCAUACUUGUCAUGUUUAUUCGUUGUUUGUUUGUUUGCUUGUUUUUGUGUUAGUUUAUGCUUGAAACAUUGAGGACAAUGUUUGAUUUAAGUGUGGGGGGGGGGGUAACCAAGUUAUUUUGCAUGAAAUUCGUAGGAGUUUAUCACCCAUUACUUCUAGUGUUGUUCCUUGCUGUUUUUAAGUGUUUUUAAGAUGUUUUGGAGUUUUUUAGUGUGUUUUGACAUAAAAAUCCAAAAAUCUCAUAAAAAUUUGAAAAAAAAAAUUGUUUUGAAAACCCAAAAUAGAGUUGUUUUUUGUGUGUUUAUUUGUGUCUUAGGGUACCUUCCAACACAAUGAUGAGGAUUUGGUUUUUAAUUACAUGACUGUUAAAGAGAGUUAUAAACAUGGAUGAAAAUUGAUUUACUCUUUGGUGUAUGCUUGGUUGUGGUUAUAAUUUAUGAAUUCACAUGCAAUCAUAAAGUUAAAAUCGGUUUUUGUAACAUGCUUGAAGGAAGGAACUCAAAUGAACGCUACAACCUUGUGAGACUUGAGCCUAAACGUUUAUUUGGAGAGUUAAUAAUCUGUGCAUCAUUGUUUUCUAAAGUCGUUGCAUGAUCUCAUUAUUCUUUGCUUGGUUGCUACUUAGAAGGCGUUUCAUCAUUUAGUUCCAAAUGCUAGAACUCAUGCCUAUUUCAUUCAAAGCAUGCUAUUGAUUUGCAUAACACAUAUUCAAGAUGAAGUUGCGUAGUGACCACUAAAGCCAAAUUGCCAUGCCCCUUUUUCAUUAUGUGUUUAAGUUUAACCCCGUUGAGCCUUGUUAAGCCUAUGUUCUUUGUUAACCCACACUAUCCUUACCUAGCCUAGUUUUAGGAUCAUUCAUACCCUUGUUCUUGAAGCAUAGUAAAGCAUGACCUAAAAUGAACUCAUUUUUUAUCAAUGUAUUGCAGAAAGCAAGUGUGGGGGAAGUGAUUCUUGUGUGUAUGUGUACCAAAGUCCUUAAUAAGGCACAGGUAGAGAAAAAAAAAAGAGUAUGAAAAAGAGCUCUAAAGUGUUGUUUGUUAAAAAAGGGUCCAAAACAUUGAAUUCAGCCCUAAGUUUUGCAUGAAUCUUCCCUUUGUAUGUAAAAGUUGAUUCUGCAUUCUAAAGUGAAUUCCAAGUGUCUAUUUUAUUGCUUUGCUUGCUAUCGCUUUAAGAACGUUUGUUAUUCCUAUCCUUUCUUUGUUAGCCAUUACCCCUAAGCCCUGUUACAACCCUUGACUUCAAUCUUGAGUGUUAUGCAUUUCAAUUUGUGGAGUUCGAAAUUGGUAUGAGCAUAUGGUGUCAUUGGUUCUCGGAUCUAAGUAGUAGCAUACCAUUCAUGAGAUCAUAUCUAAACAUGCUUAAUAACUCCAGAAAAUUGCUUCCUUUGUUAUAACAUAUGUGAGUCCCAGUCUCUAGUGUAUGGUGUGUAGUCAGUAAAUGUGUGUGAAAAUAGAGAGUAUCUUGUAAGGAAUUGAGCAAAUUCUCUAAGGCAUGUUACUACAUUCAAAACAUUAUUUUAAUUUCUAAAUUGUGAACUCGUAAGUAGUGACUGUGAUUAAGUUUGUACUCAAGUGUGAAGAUAACCAAAAUCUGUGGGAAUGAUGAUUUUUAACAUGUCAUGUGCAUUAGAAAUCCCUGAGGCAAAUGUUGGAAGGUUAGGUUGUGUUUUGUUUGUUUUGUUUCGUUUUGUUUCUUUUGUUUUGUUCGAGGACUAGCAAAAGCUAAGUGUGGGGGAAUUUGAUAGGAGCAUAUUUAUGCAACUUAGUUAGCUUGUUUCUUGGCAUUUACUUAGUUUAAUUCUAGUUAUUUUAGUACUUUAAGCUAUUUUUGUGUGUUUGUAGGUUCAAAUAACAAAGUACUAUUUGGAGCAUUUUGGGCCAAGAUUGGAUAAUGCAAGCAUGAAAACAUGAGGAUGGACGUUUUUUAAGAUUUGAAGGCUAGAAAUCAGCAUGUGUGUGUGCAAGUGUGUUGACCUACAUCUACAAACAUCCAUCCACUACACCCAUUACAUCCACUCAUUACCAAACAUCCAUCCACUACACCCAUUACCAAACAUCCAUCCACUACACUCACUACAUCCACUCAUUACCAAACAUCCAUCCACUACACCUAUUACAUCCACUCAUUACCAAACACUCACCCACUACACCCAUUACAUCCACUCAUUACCACAACACUCACCCACUACACCCAUUACAUCCACUUAUUACCAAACAUCCAUCCACUACACCCAUUACAUCAACUCAUUACCAAACAUUCACCCACUACACCCAUUACAUCCAUUCAUUACCAAACAUCCAUCCACUACACCCAUUACAUCCACUCAUUACCAAACAUUCACCCACUACACCUAUUACAUCCACUCAUUACCACAACAUACACCACUACCACCUUAAUUAGAUGAUGGUCUUUUCCCUAGCCUAUAAAUACAUCCACCCUUCACCAUAACAGGAGGGGGAGAUCCAUCCAAAGACACAUUCACAAUGACAGUUUAGGGAGAAUGGAGGAAGACACAUUCUGCUACAAGGCAGAGUCUUUUCUUCUUAACCAUUCUACACAUUCCCACAACAAAAACACAAUUCCAUGCACCUUCAUUUCCCUUUCCUUGCCGUGACCUCCAUCCAACCUAAACACAUUCAGCCAUUCCCUUCCAUAUAUCCAUACGCAUCCAUCAAACCACACCUGGUGCCUCAACAAAGAGAAGAAGGAGUACCCUUGGACGUGCUUGCCAUUCAAGUUGGAUUGUUGGAGCGUUUUUAGGUGUUUUCAUUCUUUUGUUUUCAAUGUCUAAAUUUGUUUAUCUUUGCUUUGUGAGUAUGCAGAACUAAACCCCCCUUAGCUAGGGGGAAUUCGAAACCAUGUUCAUGCUUGCAAUAUGAUUUGAUUACUUUCAGUUGUGAUUCAUAAGUUGUGAUUUCAAUUUACUUAUCCAUUUGAAUUAAAACUGAUUUGUGUAUGUUGGUUGAGAGUGCACGCUUAAUUUUCAUGCAUAAAUCUGAUGCUAGGAUAUAAGGGAGUUUCACCUAAUCGUUAUGAACUUAUAUUCACAAGUAGUGAAGGUUGCUCGUCACAACCGUGUUAAGUAAAUUCUUGGCAUAAGUUUCAUGCAAUUCAUAGUUACAAGUGUUUCGUCAAUGCUUAUGAUUUUCAUAGAACUUAAUGAUUCUUUCUUGUAUCUCUAUUAUGCAAUUCAUGUAAGGAACCUGUGGGGAAUGCUUUAGGUUGUUGUAUGCAAUCAUCCAAUUCAAUGAAAUUAGGAAAAUCUGAGGGUUAAUUAGUGCAAUUCACAGUUAAUCUGGGGCGUUGAGAAUUCGUAGUUUAUUGAAAAGCAACUGGAAAUCGUAUUGUUAGCAAGUGUGUCAUGUGUGGAGAAGAACCUCCUAGGUAGCGUUCCAUCCAUUCAAUAUACUCAAAUUCGUGCAGAUUUCAUUAGUUCUUUAAUUUACUUGUUUUGUUUUCAAAUUCGUCAAAACCAAAACCCCUUUUACCUUGUUGAGUCAUAUUAGUUAGAAGCUGAUUUAGUUUGUGUUUUUAAGUAUUUCGAACCAAGUUGAAACCAAAAUUCGUCCAAAAGUGUGUUUAGAGUCCAAAUUUGCCCAGUUUAUGUUUUUAGGCAGAUUUGAGUCUUUUUAGCUUGUUUUGAGUUCUUUGUGUUUAUUUUGAAUUCUUUGAGUCUAGUUUAGUAUUUUAACUUUGUUUAUAUGUUUUUAAGUCAGUUUAGAGGUUAUUAGUAAGCCCUCCUAAUCCCCGGUCCAGAACGAUCCCUACUUACAUUCUUUACUACAAUUGAUACAAGAGGGUUUAAUUUGUGUGUUAAGUAAAUUCGCAUCAUAGACCAUCUCUUCGGUAGGCUGUUUAACUUGGAGUUUGCUGAGAAAGACUUCGAGGCUUUUUCUAUUUCUUCGGAAUACUUGCUUGCCUUUACUUUUGAGGCUUGUAUUGGUGAAGUAGUCGGAGAGGUUGGUGCCCAAGCUAAAGCAGCCAAGGGUGAAACGUCGAAUGAUGCCACUGCUGAGAGUGUCGCGGCUGCUGAAAGUGUGGCUAGUUUGUAGUCGUAGGAUGUCCAAGCAGCUGAAGAGUAAUCUUUUAGGUAGUCUUUCGGAUUUUCUUUGUUUUCCUUGUUGGUUUUUGCUUUGCUUGAACUCUUUCAACCUUUACCAGUUGUUUAUCAAUUUUGCUAGAAAAUUUAAUAAACUUGCCUCAUUCGUUUUUGUUCAUCUUUGAUUCUUUUGUUCAUGCUCAACCUUUGACAUCCAAACUAGCGGCAAGCGUGCUACUUUUUAAUAAGCAAAUAGGCCCGCGUAGCUUAUGCAGCUGUGGGUGUUGUGUGGAAUUUUGCAAAGUUAUUAGCCAUAGGGUUAGCAGUUGGACGCUUUGCUUACAGAAGCAGGCAAAUCUGCAUGACCAUUAACUUAUUAACCUUGGCUUUCUUCAAUCCUUUGAGCUGUGUGGCCUGCAUCACAAUGUACUAAAGAUUUUUGGGUUAUGAAAUUUGCUAACGUUUUGUAUCUAAAGUACGCGAUUGUAUGGAAUUUCGUAAGUAAGGGUUCGAGAAAACUCCUUGAUUUUAUGUAACCAAUUUCGUAGGUUGUGUAGUAAGUAUCACAAACUUUAGGAAUUAGUGUAGAUCCAAAUGAUCAUUCUGCACUUGGCAGAGGUGAAGCUUAUCGACUGCGUAGCAUGUCGACAAUGGAUAAAGCUUCAUAUAUACACAAUAACUUGUUUAACCUUUCACAAAAAUGUGCGAUUGUGUAAGUUUAGCACAGCUUACUGCACGAAGAGCAAGCUGUAAGCAGUCUUCUAAAAACCGUAAGCUACCUUAGUGCACUUGGUAAUAGCUUUAGGGUUCCAGGGCAAACGUUCAUAGGGCAUACUGCGUAAUAUGCCCCCUUCAUCUUUGGGGCCCGAUUCCCUGAGGAUUAGGCCAAGAGACCCAAAAUCCUUCAGUUAGCUAAGCCUUGAAAAAUACCAUUGUGGCUACUUCUAAGAAUCUUGGCACAAGCCAUCAUGCAUAUAGUUAUACUAAGCAGACCGACUCAUCCACGUCUGGAUAUUUAGAGUGUAGAGUUUAUCCUCCCGUAUUGGAGAGCCGACCCAUGUGUGUAUCAGGGAAUUGGUUUACCCUAUCGCAUUGGAGAGCAUGGUUGGUCCAUUGAGAGGUGCAAUUCUUGCGAUGAGUCUCUAAGAAUGGUGCGGUCUUCUUUUGAAGUGCAUAAGUGAUUAGUUGUAAUCAUACAGUCGAGCCAAGUUGUAAUUACUUCUAAAUUCCUCAUUGAAAAACGAGUGAAAUGAACGAAAACUUAGCUGUAAAGUAGAAAUUGCAUAACAACUAAAUAGUCAUCGGCUUGCGAGGUGGCGUCCGUUGAGCUGCUUGAGUCUUCGGGCUUUGGUAUAGCAAGAGGUUAUGCAUGGUACUUCCUUAGAUUGUAGGCAUUCCACUACUUUUCGAUCUUUUUAUCGUUCAUAGUGGCGAUGGUGUAGCUACCCUUACCGCCUACUCUGCUUAUCUUGUACGGACCUUCCUAGAUAUGAUCCAUCUUUUUUUAGCCUUCUCUUCGGGCAGUGAUGAAAGGUUUCCUCAGGACUAGGUCUUUGGGUUGGAAUUGCCAGAUCUUAGCCCUUUUGUUGUAGCUAGAGAGGAGCUGCUGCUGCUAGGUUGAGAUGCGGGUGAUGACCUUUUCGCGAUUCUUCUAUGCCAGAUCUAGAUUUGUGGCCAUCUCCUUUCCAUUUUCCUCUAUGCUUGGCAAUAAAGUGUUGAUACUUGGCACGAUGACAUUGGGAUGAAUGAUUGCUUCUAAACCAAAUGCCAAAAAGAAAUGAGUAUCACUGGUUGCUCGUCAUUUGGUGGUGCAAUAUGCCCAUAGACAUCCGGGGAGUUCGUUUGGCCAUUUUCCCUUCUUGUCGAAGAGGGACUUCUUGAGGUUGUCAAGAAUCAUCUUGUUAGAUGCUUCGGCCUGCCCAUUGCCUUGAGCAUACCUUGGCGUGGAAAUGCGCUACUUGAUGCCAUAUUUUUAGAAGAACUUCGCCAAAUCUUUGCCUACAAAUUGUGGGUCGUUGUAUGUGACAAUGGAUUGAAUGAUGCCAAAUUGGUAAAUGUUGUUCCUCCAUAUGAAGCGCUCUCUGUCCGUCUGAGUCGCGGUUGUCAUCAGCUCUACUUUUACCUAUUUGGUGAAAUAAUCAGUUGCCACGAUCAUCAUGCAUCUACCCCCAGUAUCGGGCAGCAUUGGCAUUACCAAGUUGAUUGCCAACUGCAUGAAUGGCCAAUAACUCAUCUACGAGUGUAGUUCACUAGAAGGCAGUGUUGGUACCGGCUUAUAGUGUUGGCAGUGGUCGCACUUUUGGACUAACGCAUUAGCAUCUUAAUGCAUAGUAGGCUAAUAAUAACCUACGUUAAGAGCCUUAUGUGUUAAGGAUCGACCUCUGGAGUGAUUUCCAUAAAUGCUUUCAUGGAUUAAGAUUAGAACCUUUAGGUCAUCGGGAAGCGCUUGGCAGCGGAGAUGUAGACCAGUGUGGGAUCUUCAGACAAGAAUGUCAUUCCACAUGUAGUAGCGUGUUGCCUUUAUUUGGAGCUUUCUAGACUCCAACCUUUCCGUGGGCAGUGUGUCAUUGACCAGGUAGUCUAUAAUGGAACUUUGCCAGUUUGGAGUUGUACUAACCUAUGACACCUCAGCAGUUGGCUCCGCCUCUAUGUUUGGCUUGUCUAGAUACUCCACCGGAAUAGAGCAUUAAGUUGGUGGUCAAGGGUAAAGCCUAGGCCAGCUAGAGCGUCCGCGUAAGCAUUGUUUGCCUGCAGUACUUGAGUGAGAGUAUAAGUCUGAAAUGCCUUAAGCUAUUUUCGUACCUUUUCUAGAUAUUGUGCCAUCCUUUGAUGUUUUAUCGUGUACUCCCCAGUAGUCUGACUGAUUAUUAGCUAGGAAUCGGAAUGAAUUGCCAGCUUUUUCACCGCCAAGUCUUUAUCCAUUUAGAAGCCUACUAGUAGGGCCUCGUACUUUGUUUCGUUAUUGGAUUCUUUGAAGCCUAUAGUGAUUGUCUGCUCGAGCAUUGAACUGUCUGGUGUAACAAAGACCAUGCUUGUUCCCGAGCCUUUGUAGUUGGAUAAGCCAUCGACAUGCAAAUGCCAGAAGUCUCCUUCGGGUGGAGCAGGCACGGCUAGGGCAUUUAUCGCCUUGUGGGGUCGGUGUGAAUUCCGCUAUGAAGUCUGCCAAGGCUUAGGCUUUUAUCGCCUUGUGGGGUCGGAAAACUAAAUCGUAUUGGCCAAGUUCCAAUGCCCAUUUCAUCACUCGUUGAGAAGCGUCUAGACCAUGUAAGAUUGAUCGUAAAGGAUACUGAGUCCUGGCGAUGACUGUGUGAGCUUGAAAAUAUGGACUGAGUUUUCGAGCCGCAAUAACUACCGCCGAAAUUAAUUUCUCAAUCUUUGGAUAUCUAGUUUCCUCAUCGAGAAGAGCUUUAGAAAUGUAGAAUACCAGUAGUUGGGACCCCAUUUCUUCUUGUAUGAAGGCAAACCUCAUAGCUACUUUUGAGAUUGCCAAGUAGAUGUAUAAGUCCUAUGCUACUUCCGACUUGGAUAGUAAGGGCGGUGAUAUGAGAUACUUCUUUAGAUCUUGGAAAGCUCUUUCACACUUAUCAUCCUAUUUUUCUUAUUGUGCCCUCUUGAUGGCCUUGAAAAAGGGUUGCAUCGAUCGGUGGAUCACAAAAGAAAGUGGUUGAGGGCUGCUACUCGUCCGGUCAAGCCUUGGAUCUUCUUCAAAGUAGUUGGAGAUUUCAUCUUUAGGAUUGCUAGGAUUUUCUUAGGAUGUACUCCUAAUAAUCUACUUGAAGAUACUCCAAAUGUUCAUCUGGCGAGAUUCAGCUUCAUCUUGUAUUUUCUAAGGAUGUUGAAAGUUUCUGCCAAGUUGCUGAUAUGGUCUGAUCACUGCUUGCCCUUCACCAUGAUGUCAUCAACAUAGAUCUUCAUGGUUACUCCAAUUUGGUUCUUAAACAUCAUGUUUACUAACCUUUGGUAAGUGGCUCCUGCGUUUUUUAGGCCAAAGGGCAUGACCUUGUAGCAGUAGGUGCCUCGCUUAAUCACGAACAGUUUCUUAUCAAGCUCGUACAUGGUUAUUUGGUUGUAGCCGGAGUAUGCGUCUAAGAACUGAGCAGCUGAUUCCCAGAAGUUGAAUCUACUAAUAGAUUGAUUCGGGGAAAUGGAUAAGGAUCAUUUGGGCAUGUUUUGUUGAGGUCGAUGUAGUCUACUCAAACCCUCUAUUUUCCAUUCUCUUUCUUCUCCGGCAGCUGGGGAUCAAGAAUGAUGUGUUCGGCGUCUUCUUCGGGUUUCCAUCCUAUCUCGUAUGCUGGCGCAUUGGUUUGGACAUCAUCUUCUUGACUCGCUUGGUGUAAUUGCUAUUUGGUAGCUUCAUUGUCUCCUUGUGAAGGAAAUAUAUGUGAAAACUAGUUAAGUUGAGCAAUAUCUAUGCAUGCAAUUAACAAUUAAAAGGCAGAAUCAUGCUUGUAUACACUCAAAAACAAAACUUAACCCAUGAAAUUCAAAGCCUAGUAGUUAUGGUGAACCAAGGCUCAACUAAAAAACAAAGUGAGUUGAGAAAUAUUAAACCUUUGUUGAUUCCUCUUUGCAUAAGCAAAUGCUAAUCACCCAAGAGAAAAGGCCUUCAUUACUUACUUCUUGCUCCAUGGAUUUCUUGGAGGAGGAUGGAUGAAUGGAUUCUCCAAGUUCCCAAAAUAGAGAACCUCUAAGUCUCCACACCAAGGAAAGCAUUGAUGAAUAGAUGAGCGUCCUAGAGGAAGGAAGAUUGCUAGCUAUGUUCCUUUUGGGUGGCCGGCCUCUUAGAGAGAAAAUGAGAGCUUAUGUUCUCUCCAAUUUCCUCAAGAAAACCCUAAAGAUGAAAUGGCUAUAAAGUUGUCUUUAUACCACCUCACAUGGAGUGGCAAACUUGCAAUUUAGCCAAGUUCACUACCCCUCACUAUUAUGGCCGGCCAUAUUGGGUUCUUUGGGCUUUGAGGCCCUUUGUGCUUCAAGUUGUCAUACAACUUGAGUUAUUGGACUUGAUAUUCAAAUCCCAUUAGGCCUUGCAGCCCAAAACUAACCCAAGGUCUAUAAUUAACUUAUUCGCUUGAUUAAUUAACAUAUUAAUUAAUCCUAGCCAUAAAUCAUUAAACCAUUUAACUAUCCUUACUCAUCUCCGUUGUUUCUUCAAUCUCUACCUUAUUCGGUGUACGAUCUAUUAGGUUCAUUUUAGAAAGGUAAUGGGUGAUUAGAACUCUUCAAAUCGAUUGUGAAUUGAAACUUACUUUCAAUUUUCCCUUUAGUGAUUAUACACCUUUAGGGCUUCCACAAACCAUGAGUGACACCUAGCAGUAUGUCAUGGCUACUCAAGCUAAUCAGAAGAGGUGGAGAACCUAUUCAGUUUAGGAUUACAAUGCAAUACGGUUUUUCUCUAAUACAAUACUCUUGACCACAUUGUUUGGUUUUAUAGUUUAUUCAUGUCUACUAUCCAAUGUGGUUCUCUUACUUAUAUGAUUACCUUGAAUAUGAUUUGGAAUGACUUCCUAAAUCUCAUUCAUACUCUGGCCAGAGAUUCUUAAUCAUAUCAUAGAGUAUUCUUCCUCAAACAGUUUGAAGGUUAAAGAUCCCUUGUUGCACAUUCACUUGCCUCCAUAGUUAAGUGGCUUAACCCCAACUAUACCAUGGACAUCCUAUGAAGAAGUGACUUUAACAUAGUCAAAGAUCAAUGACCUAACCAGAAGACAACUAUGAUGCUUCAGGUUAAAUGACUACUUUGCAUUAUCCCAACCAUGAGUUCUCAUGUGAAAUGAGUAUGAGAACUCCUUGUUGAUCGCGUUUAGUAGACUCAUUCUCUAUUGAGCACCUACGUGCUUGUCUUGGUGCCAGUCACACUAAUAACUCGAGACCAGUUACUUUCCCUAAGAAAAGACAUAGCACGAACUGAUCUUAACAGACUGUCAAUACCCAAUUGGCAAUCCUAUGAUCAGGAACGUUUAGGAUAUGUAUACGAAAGAUAAUGGUCUCAUGAAUCUAACUUCUUUAGAUUACAUUCUCCCAAUUACAUAUUCCUUGAACUUAUCGUUUAAGCAUAUAACAUUUAUAUGAGAUGGCUUUAAACAAUAAUAUUUUCCCUUUAUAUUAAACUAGAUUAGUUUAACAUGUGAAAUGUCCGUACAGUAUCAUCAUAUGAUUGGCUUUAGGGCACAUUUCCAACAAUUUGGACCUCAGUAGCCUCUACGGGGGUAAAGGUCUUCUUUCUUGACUCUUUCAGUACUUGCAUAGUGCAUCAUCGAGAUACGACCUGGUCAAACUUGAUUUCUCCGACUUCUUCUCCCAAGAUGUAGAAUCAAAUUUUUUGGUACUUAACGGAAGUGACGACAUCCAGCUUUAUCAACCAAAGUCGCCCUAGAAUCCCAUUGUAGGGAUACAGGUCGCUUACUAUCUUGAAUGUUUGCUUUGAGACAACUGGCGGUGUUUUCACGUCAAGUGUGAUGUGGCCGAUCGAAGUCAAGGUAUGUUUAUUGAAUCUGAUGAGUACUUCCUCUCUGCGUAUGAUUGUGUUUUCCAGGCCUAUCAUCUGAAUUACUGAAAGCUGAAGUCGGUUGACUACACUUCCUUUAUCAACCAUCAUUCUGUCAACUUGUCGACUAUAGCAUGAGCAGUUGGAUAGAUACUACUAGUGCGUCGUCAUGAGAGAAAUCAGCUCUUUCGGCAUCCUACUCGGUGAAGUCAACGAUGAGUCCAGGUUGGGUAUUGAUUGCCUAGACCUGCGAGACUAGUAGAGCCUGUUGGAUCUUCCUCUUCUUUGAAUUGUUGGUGGCCCCCAAGUGCUCAUAUUUGACGAAGAUGUCAUUAAUCCAAAUCGUCUUGUUGAGCGAUUCUUCGUCGGCAUUCAUAUUCUUUCUAGGUUGCGCAGCCGGCUUGUUUAAGUAUCUGUCGACUUUGCCUUUGUUCAUGAGCUUCUCUAGGUAGUUCUUCCAAGUGUAGCAGUCAUUAGUUGGGUGACCGGGACCUCAAUGGAAUACGCAAUACUUGGUGUGGUCCAACUUUGAAAUAUAUCCCUUUGAUUACUUUAGCUGCUUGAACCAUGGUUCGCUCUUGAUAUACAGAUGAUUUGGCCUCCUGCCUGCUUUCGUUCUGCUCGCCGAGCCUCAUCCCAAAAUGCAUGCUUCUCUACCAGAACGAAAGAGUCUGCCAGAGUUAGAUCUUCUUUCAUGAUCAAUUCUCCUAAUAGUGGGUUAUCUUCUAGGAAUCCUUUUUGGAAGGCUACACUCGCUAUCAAGUCGUCGCAUCCGACUAUCUUUGCCUUCUCUGCUUUGAACCUUCACGUAGUCGUGGAACGACUCCUUUGGGUUCUUCUUCAUGUUGAACAAAUGAUCAGACUUCUUCUUGAUCGAGCGGCAUGACGAAUAUUCUUUGGUGAAAACCAAAGAAAGAUCAUCGAAACUCCGAAUGGACCAUGGCGGCAAGGUGUGGAACCAAUCUUGCGGCUCUCCUUGCAAAGUGGUGGUGAAUAUCUUGCACAUAAGGGCAUCGUUAUUCCGAUAAAGGACCAUCGUGUUUCGAUAGUGCUUCAAGUGUCUCUUCGGAUGUCCAUCUCUUUUGAAGGAUGUGAAAUGUUGCAUGCUGAACUUGCAUAGAGGCUCUGCCCGCUCGAUCUCGUCCAUAAAGAGUGACCUACUUAUGUUAGUUAUGUCCCGUCGUAACGCCUCAUUGGUGACCUCGUUGCGUUGGAAAUCACACAAUCGUUGGAUCAAGAGCCUCACUACUUCUUCUUGAAUUUGCCUUUGUUGGGGUAGCAGAGCUCUCGGCUGCCCCCUAUCUUGACCUGUCAGUCUAGGCUGUUCUUCUAUAUGUUUGGCUUAUCUAUGAGUAGUUGCGGUGCAUGUGGUAUGUUCCUGGUAGGGGAGUGAUUUCCUCGUAUACUGCUAGUUGAACUUGAGCUGGAUUGAAUGACUGCUUCUGUCCGUCCUUUGUGUUGCCUAUUCCGAUGUGAGGUGGAGGAAGCUCCUUGCGGACCUAGCCUCGAAUGAACACUUUGCCUGGAUGGUUGCUCAUGUUGAUUGUCGGAGUAUGGUCCCAACCGUGAGUUUAUGCUUGUCUGUGAGCCUAAUCGAGAGUGCAUGCUCCUCCGCGCCCAAAGACGGGAGUAUACUCUAUCUUAGGGGUGGUGUAAACUUGCAAGUGCACAAGAUAGUCGUAAUAUAACGUUUUGCAAGUCCAAGUAUCGUUCCCACGAGGAUUCUAAUUCAAUCUCCAAUUAGAUAAACUAAACCAAAUCUAAUUAUAUUAAAGACACACAAACCCAAACAACGAACUAGACUCGAUCUUAAUUAAUAAGUCAAUCAAAGAUGUAAAGAAUUUGUUGUGAUGAUUUUAUAAAUGAACAAAAAUAGAACCUUAAGUAAAAACUGAAAUUAAAGAAAAGAAACGGUUGUGUUUUAAGGCAAGUGAUGAAAAUCUAGGGAUUCGGAAUCAACCACAAGCAAUCUAGUUUAGGUUUCAAUGCAUUCAAUGGAUCUUUCAAUUCUUUAUAUGAUAAUUCCCGUAUCUAAGUCCUUGUCAGGCACAUUAGACCAUAGUUUUCCUUAUGUGAAUGAUUCUCUCCUAGUUUAGGCAGAGGUCGUAUAUCCUAACAUGCAGUCUAUCUUGGUUAAGGCAUAAAUUUAACAAGUAGGACUCUUUACGCUCGAGAAAACAAAGGACCCAAACAAACCAUUAUUCUUUUUCAAGCAAUAAUGUAAUUUACCACACUUAACCACAAGAAGCUAAUUGAAUUAUAUUGCUAGUUCAGCCUCAAAUUCAUCUUCCAAUCUUACUAGAUGCAAAGUCCUAAGGUGAUCAAUCAAAGAACUCAAACAAAGAGUAACAAUUCAAACAAUGAUUAAGCAUUCAUCUAAAAGAAACUGGAAAUCCAAUGAAUAACAUUAAAAACCAUAAACAUCCAUGCUAGGGCAUCAUCCUAACCCUAGAAAAAGAGUUUAGUUACUCAUAAAAUCUGAAAAACAUAAAAUACUUCCACACGAUGGUGAUGGAUUGCCUAGAUGAUCGGUGACUCUGUUUCACUCCUUGCUACGACCUCUUCUCUGCACCUUCGAAAACCCAAAAACUCUCUCUGUCCGCACCUAAAGUCCCCCGGUCUGCCCUCCUUUAUUCCUGAAUAAAAUGCUGGAAUACUUACUUGAAUGGGACUCUUGAAUUUCUCUUCUGACUUGGAUUAGUUUAUUGAUGAUGUGGCACACUAAACUAUUAAAUAUAUUAACUAUGCACCGUUUAGAAUAGUCCUUAACUUUUCUAAAAGCUUCCUCUUUUUUUUCUCUCUGCUUGUUUCCUUUAAUUAAACUUUGUAAAUCUGAAAUCUCUUUGCAAAUCCCGCGUAAAACCUUGCUGGCAGACGUCUGGUACAAAAACCACUAUAACGUCUUCUAGGAAACUCGGAAUCACGAACCGUAAAGUUCUUCUGAAAGCUAACUUUCAUAUCUUUCCAAUGGUAUAAGACUCAACAGCUGGUUCAUUCUGAGGAAGUACAGUUUAAUCUGUAAAGUUGGCUGAUCCGCACAAACAGCCUCUGCUUCCAGCACGCCAAACUCAUUUCAAUCGCUAAAAAUGCUCUUUUUUCUUCUUUCUUCAUCUUCACACUUCAAAUCUAAGAAAAACAUAAAACUAAGUGAAACAAACUAAAUUCACUCAAAAGGAUAACAAAAAUCUAAACUAAAAGGGCAUGACAAUGUAUGCAAUUAUGAUUAUAUCAAGGGGCCCAAUCGAGAGUACACUACCAGAACGCUCAGUUCAUGGUUGGUCGAGUGGUUGCUUGCCAGGACGCUACUGGAGAGGUUCCUCGUCUUCCCUUGGGCCGCUGGGUUAUUGGGCCCGUGUAGGUUGGAAUGGCACGGCUUGGGCUUGUGGGCCUUGGGCCGUUGUCUUGGCACUGUGGGUAUGGGCUUUGUCGAAGGUGGCCAUGGCAACUGCUGUCGUGGUGGCUACCAUGGUGGCUACUACGGUGGCACCCAGUGGUGGUGGUGCCUCUGCACUUGUCGUUGCGUUGAGCCUUGUGGAUCGUCGUGGUCCCAAUUCUUGAACGUUGGAAUUUUCGUUCGUUGUGGUUUCCGAGUUUCUACUCAUUGUGCUUUUCUUUUACGUUUUAUCAAAGAAUUUUUAUAAAUAAAAAUUUCAAGAGUAAGAACAUACGAAAAAUCUACAAAUGAACAAGAAAACAAAAACCUUGCAUGCGAGAGUCUUUUAUGAGUGUUUGAAUCAAGAUUCUCUAUAAAGGCACCAAUUUGUGGAUUCAAAUUUCCGUCUUUUUCUUCUUGGACCAAAUUGCACCUAUAAAACAAUUAACACCUAAGGUCAAGGCCAAGAACCUCACGCAGACUUAGGUUUUUUGGAGAAAAUGAGGCUACAUAUAGGGGUGUGGCUGGCCCUAUUUGGAGAAAUAGGGACCGGCCACUUAUGGUGGUGAUUUGAGUGUACUUGCAAUUAAUUUGGUAAUUAAUCAAUUAAUUUUCCAAUUAAUCCCAAUUUGAAAGGAAUAAUUGGGAGUUACCUUGUGGGGAAGAUUUGAUGAGGAUUGAUGAGAGUGUUUUGAAUAAAUAUCAUUUUGAUCACCUUUGACCUUGAUUGAGCCGUUAUUGUCCGUUGCAUGCGCAUAGGAAUCCUGUUGUGCCUCGAGGGUAAUUUUAUUUUAUUUUUUACUCAAAAGUCCACAUGUCGCCUCUAUAAUUUUUUUAAUUAUUUUUUGCUCUAUUGUUAAUAACCCAAAGGACUGAGAGAAGCUCACCGCUUAGCAUAAUCGCCAGCAUCGAGCCCCCAACUACACUCUUUUAAUUAGAAAUUUAGAUUAAAUUUAGGCUUAACUUGUUUGAUGACCAUUUCAUUGUUGAUAUUUGAUUUCUAUUUUUUGUGCUCGAGAAUUUGAGGUGGUAUUCAUUAGAUAAGAUGGAUAAAGAAUGAUAAUGAACAAAAGGGUGAUGUGUUGUAUCGAUCAUUAUAAGCCUAGCAACUUCCAGUAGUGGUGCAGUUACAUAUAUUGAUACUAGAAAACAUUCACUUAAAUCAAAACAAAGUCACUUAGUACUACGGUCUAGUGGUACUCCUCUUCACUUGUAAGUGAGAGGUCUUAGGUUCAAUUCUUGCUAAAGACGAAUUUGAACCAUAUUAUUAUUAGAUCAUUGUGAGGCUUAGCUUACUCUCCACCCCCUUAGUCUAGAUACUAUCGUUUGUUAAAAAAAAAAAAUCAAAACAAACUUUAGUACUCACUGAUUGCAUGUUUACAAAUGACCUUAAUCAUAAGUAAAAAGAGUUACAUACAUAACAUUCAUAAAUAAUAAAAAAAAACAGCUAUAUCUUUGUUUGUACCAUACUUCACCAAUCCCUAAACUAUUAAGCACUGGUCAACGUUAUACCAUCAAGGACCCAUAAGAGUUUCCCUCCAACCAGGAGGCCAAUCACAGCACGACACGUGUCGACAUCAAAAGCCAAUCAUAGCGCGACACGUAUCAACAUCAGAAGCCAAUCACAACACGACACGUGUCAAUGUCAAAAUGAAACUAGAAACUCUCUUCUAUAAAUAGAGAUCAUUCUCUCACAAUAUUUCCUAAUGUCAUUUGUACUAAAUCAUUCACUAGUACUCACUAAAAGAGAGCUUGAACCUAUGUACUUGUGUAAACUUUUCAUAAUUAAUGAGAACUCCUCGACUCCGUGGACGUAGCCAAUCUGGGUGAACCACGUACAUCUUGUGUUUACUUCCCUGUCUCUAUCCAUUUACAUACUUAUCCACACUAGUGACCGAAGCAAUCUAGCGAAGGUCACAAACUUGACACUUUCUGUUGUACCAAAAUCCUCACUGAUUUUGUGCAUCAGCAUUUAGAGCCGUCUGUGGGAACGACACUUAUUCCCACUCUCUUCAGCUUUGUUAAGCUAGUUUCCACCAUUCGUACACUCUUUUUUUACCAAGCAUCCCUUUCCAACAUGGGGAGCGAAGGAAGCCACAGCACACAGAAUGACACUCAUCUUGCAUCUGGUGCGAAACAACGAAAGAAGGAACAAAAGAAGUUUGCUCUUCAAGCUAAAGUCGAUGAGCUGGAGGCUCAGAACAACAAGAUAGUGAUGAAGAAUGAGAUCCUCCAAGAGCAGUAUAAGAAGGUCUUUGAGAUGCUCCACGAGGCUAGAUAUACUAAAACACACGAGCUCAUCACCCAUGUGGAAGUCAACCAUCAACUGGAUGCCCCCCAACACAGAAGGUCAUUUGCCAUUAACAUGGGUAUUUCUGUUCAGGAGCGAGCUACUCAUCAAAAUGGUGACCAACAAAAGACUUCUCUUAACCCAGCAGCUUCGAUCCGAAGCAGGAGGAGUGGAGGAAGGAACCUCCUUACAGAAGAAGUGGAAGGAUUGAAAGACAUCUUUCGCGACUGUCGAGACAAUCCCAUCCAUGUAAGCUCGAAGAUCAAUGACCCCAAGGGUCUCUGAAAGACUCGGUCCCCUCCCAUGUCCCAGGCCGGCUACCAAUUUGGGGAAAAGGCAACAAGUCCUAGAGAAACAUGAAGGUAUUGUGGACUCAAAGGUGUUCCGACAAACAUACCUUGGAAGUCAGUACGAAGAGUCCAGGGAAAAAUCACAUACUCUUGAUCAAACCUUCCUACUUCCAAGAAAAGAUGGAGAUUUACGAAAGAAAGCUUUAGUGGUACAUGACUCCACUCAGGACCCUCUUGUCCUACAGCUCCUUAAGGAAGUAAACAAGUUGAAGGCCGAACGACAAGCUGAGAUACCUGAUUAGAACCAACCUAGGUCUGGCCCUCUUACAAGGAAGAUCCUCGACACCCCCUUUCAAGCAAAGACAAAACAAAAGCUUGGUUUACAACUCUAUACUGGAACGGAUGACCCAAUUGAACACCUUAACCUCUUUGAAUCCACCAUGGCAUAUUGGAUGCACACCGACGAAAAACGAUGUCUUCUCUUCCCCUCCACCCUCUCUGGCAGAGCUCUAAAUUGGUAUUGCCAUCUUCCACCUAAGACAUUAGACUUAUUUGAGGAACUCAAGAAACUAUUUGUCUCUCAACACAUCUUCCAAACCGAUCGCUUGCAUUCUGCAGAUGACUUGUACACUAUUAGCCAGAAACCGGACGAGUCACUACGAGAGUAUAUCGAUCGUUUCAGCCAUGAGUAUUCUCGCUGCGCUGAGGCAGAUAACAAGACAGCCCUCAAGGCCUUCACGGCAGGCCUACGUGAUUGUUUCUUCAAGUACAUGAUUUAUGCCAACACUUGGAAGACUUACUCUGAGGUGAUGGCACAUGCUUACAACUAUGCCUUCGCCAAGGAAAAAACAUAUCAAGGGAAACCCCCCACAACCACCCUUUAUCAGCAAGUAGGGAGUGGAAGCUAGAUCCAACAAAAUGAGAAGACCUCGACCUUCCACAUGGCAGUGGUGCCUCUCCCUACCUUACUUAAUACUUUGCCAAGUCAACAGACAUAUCAAUCUCAGGGCAAAAAGAAAGAUUUCCAUCUUCACCAGUCUCAUUUUAGUAAAAGAAGUAAAGGACACUACCACGAUAACCAAGGGUAUCGCCAUGAUAAUUCCCGACCCCAGGCAGUCAACACAAUGGGUCAAGCACGUGUCAAGACAGCCCCUACCCCGAGGUAUGAGGCAUACACACCUUUGAACGCCACAUGCGUGGCCAUUUACCCCAGCAUAGCACACCUGAUACCGAAGCCAAAGAAGCCAAGGCAUCUGGAUUACAAGCCCACGAAGAACACAGGCAUGUUUUGCUGCUACCACGAGCAUAACGGCUAUGACGGCGAGAAGUGUAUCACCCUUUGUAAUCAUUUGAAGCUUUAGCACGGGAAUGAACAAUUGAUCAAUUCCUCAUUCACCCCUACAAGGGGUAACCGUAACCAACGCCAGGUGAAUAGGAUGUAUUCUAUAAGUGGUGGCACACCCAUAUCUAAAUCUUCCAACAAGGCCAUGAAAAAUAGUGAACGAGCUUUAAGGUCUGGCCACCAAGUGUUCCACGUGGAAGACAUCAGGGGAGGCAAGUACUAGGAUCCAAUAUUUUUCUACCCUAAGGAAGAAAGAGGUAUCAUCUACCUUCACAACGACCCACUGAUCGUGGAAGCUCACAUAGCCAACCUUGAAGUACGACGAAUCCUGGUAGACAUGGGGGCUUUAGUCAAUAUCAUGUUUGUUGAAGCUUUCAAGGCACUUAAUGCAGCUAAACACUUGCUCGAUCGCUCGAUUUCCCCUCUGAUAAGCUUCUCUGGUGAUAUCGUGCAACCUUUGGGAAGCAUAGAUUUACCUUUCACCAUUGGUACAGACCCUUACACAGUUACCAUUACCACUAACUUCCUGGUGGUUGAUUGCCCAACGGCAUACAAUGUCAUCUUUGGACACACAGGCAUCAAUGAUCUCAAGGCCAUGGUAUCCACACAUAUGUUAUUGAUGAAAUUUCCAACCCCCUAUGGCAAUGGUUACAUCAUAAGAGAUCAACUUAGUGCAUGAUCAUGUUACAACACUUCAGUCAAGCAACAACACUUGCCUAUGCCCAAGGAUACCCUUUCUAUACAUGACCAAGUCAUAAAGACCAGUCCAGACGAAGCUAAAUUGGAUCUUCACGGUGGCAACAGUCAACCCGACGAUUCUCGAGAUGACUCUUUCACCCAACAAGCAUAACCCGCUGAAGAGUUGGAGAAGGUCUCUAUCUCAAAAGAUUAUUCGGAUCACAUGGUGAAGAUUGGCACCACCUUGUCACUACCCAUUCGGUUGGCAUUGAUCUUUUUUUUUUUUGCAAGAGAACACUGAGGUCUUCGCCUGGUCAUACGAGGACAUGCCAGGCAUCUCUCACGAUAUCAUCUGUCAUCACUUAAGUAUUGACCCCAAGACCAAACCAGUGAGACAAAAGCUAAGAUCUUAUGACGCUAAACGGUACGAGGCAAUGAAGGAAGAAGUUGAAAAACUCAAAGGCAUAGGCUUCAUCCGUGAAGUUAAUUAUCCAACGUGGGUAACAAAUGUUAUCCUUAUUAAGAAGAAUCCGACCAAGGAAAGUCUCAUGCUCCAAAAGGUCUUGUGGAGAAUGUGUGUCGAUUACACCGACCUAAACAAAGGAUACCCGAAGGAUAGUUUUCCUCUUCCUCUCAUAGAUAGACUUGUAGACUCUACGGCAUGGUGUGAACUCCUGAGCUUCAUGGAUGCUUACUCAGGAUACAACCAAAACCUCAUGAACCCUCCGGACCAAGAACACACAGCCUUCACUAUUGACAGGGGACUAUAUUGUUAUAAAGUCAUGCCCUUCGGCCCAAAGAAUGCAAGAGCGACUUAUCAGAGACUGGUCAAUUCAAUGUUUGCCAAACAGAUUGGGAAGAGCAUGGAAGUUUACGUUGAUGAUAUGCUAGUUAAGAGCAAACAUGAUGACCAACACAUCACCAACCUAUCUGAAACUUUCACCAUUCUGAAGAGGUAUCAAAUGAGGUUGAACCCCAACAAAUGUGCCUUCGGCAUAGGCUCUAGUAAAUUCUUAGGCUUCAUGAUAAGCCAACAAGGCAUUGAGGCACGAUACUCCAACCUUGAGAAAUUGGCUCUAGCAUUGGUUAUGUCUGCUCGAAAACUUCGCCCUUACUUCCAAGAACACUCCAUCAUCGUGCUUACCAAUCAUCCUUUUUUACAGAUAUUCCAAAGUCCUGACACUUCUGGGCGAAUGAUAAAAUGGGCGAUAGCAUUGGGUGAGUUUGACAUCUCCUAUCAACCAAAGCCAACUGAGAAGGGCCAAGCAGUGGCAGACUUCAUCGUCGACUUCACAUAUCCUGUUGACAUUGUUUAUACGCCUAAAUAAGUGGUUUCAUUACCCUCGGAAGUUUAGAAAAUAUAACCAACAACCCUAGUAUGGAGUCUAUAUGUCGAUGGCUCGUCCAACCAAUAGGUUUAUGGAGCAGGACUAGUCCUUACGACCCCUGAUAAAGUGGCGAUAGAAUAUACUCUUCGUUUCAAAUUCAAGGCGUUGAACAAUAAGGCUGAAUAUGAAGCCCUCCUAGCAGGCUUACGUUUGGCCAAACACCUUGGGGUUAAACGAAUUGAUAUAUUCAGUGACUCCCAAUUGGUGGUUAACCAGGUCACCAACAACUUUGACACUAAGGAUUGCUUCAUGGCAGCAUAUCUGGUACAAACACAAUUGUUACUCCAGUACUUCCACUACCAGAUCACCAGAAUUCCUCGAGCGGUAAAUAGUCAUGCAAAUGCUUUGGCUCGCCUCGCCUCAGCGGUGGAAGACAAGAUUGGGAGAAAAAUUCAGGUCGAAUAGUUGGCAGCACCAAGCACCAUGGCUACGGAAGUGUGCAACUUACAACAGGGGGAUAGUUGGAUUACCCCGAUUUAUAGAUUCCGUGCUCAUGGCACCCUUCCAAAUGACAAAAUCCAAGCUAAGUAGAUUCGAUACAGGGCUACCCGUUACUUGAUCAUUAAUGACCAACUUUACAAACGAGGUUUUAACCUACCAUACCUAAUAUGCCUUAUGCCCGUAGAGGCGAAAAUUGUCCUUCAGGAAAUACAUGAAGAAGUCUGCGGAGAUCAUGCUGGAUUUCGAUCCCUAACACACAAGGCUUUUCGCCAAGGAUAUUACUGGCCAACACUCCACCAAGAUGCCAUCAAAAUAUCUCGCUCAUGUGAUAAGUGUCAACGCUACGUAACUAUUCCUCACUCCCCUCCCGAGCCACUCAUUCCUAUGAUCAACCCUUGGCCCUUCGCCCAAUGGGGACUUGAUUUGAUCGGCCCAAUGCUUGUAGGGAAGGGUAAGGUCCACUAUGCAAUCGUUGCAGUUGACUACUUCACAAAGUAGGCUGAAGUAGAACUCUUGGCAACCAUUAAUGAGGCAAAAAUAGAAAACUUCAUUUGGAAGAACAUCCUUUGUAGAUUCGGCAUUCCCAAUACAAUAGUCACUGACAACAGGUGACAGUUCGACAACAAUAAGUUCAGGAUAUUCUGCUCAAAGUUCAACAUCAAUUUAUGUUUUGCCUCCCCAGCUCAUCCUCAGUCUAAUGGACAAGUUGAAGCCAUCAACAAAAUAAUCAAGGGAACUUUGAAAACUAGUUUGGACAAGGCUAAAGUUUGUUGGCCAUAAUUUGUACCCCAAGUUCUUUGGUCAUACCGCACUUCGUAUCGAACAUCAACAGAAGAAACCUCAUUCUCACUUGCCUUUGGUACAGAGGCAGUUGUCUCAGUUAAGCUUGAGCAAGCAACAUUCCGAGUCCAGCACUACGUGCAAAGCGAAAAUGAUAAACAACUUACCCUCAACUUAGAUCUAGUCGAGGAACACAGAAACCAGGCUCACUUGAGGAAUGUCGCCUAGAAGCAGCGCAUCUCCAACUAUUAUGACUCAAGGGUCAAACCUCGUUCUUUCAAAGUGAGGGAUUGGGUAUUGAAGAAAAGAUUACUCUGCGACAGAGUCCCGAGUGAAUGAACACUUAGUCCAAACUAGGAUUGACCGUUUGAAGUUGUUGGCAUCAGUCGCCCUAGCUCCUACAAGCUUAGAAGCUCCGAUGGCAAGACCUUUGGCCAUCCAUGAAACGCUGAUCACUUGAGGUACUAUUACAAGUAAACUCACAUUGUACAAGUGUUAAGCUUCAGUCGUUUAGCAUCCUAUGUAACGAAGACUAUUUAGCAUGAAUUCAAUAAAGAGGUGAUUUAGACAACUCGGUCCUAAUCCUCUUACAUUCCUAGCAAUGAAACGUUCGGGUUCAAAGCUUCAGCAUGAAUGCUUCCAACAUGAAACAAAGUUUAAGUAUAUGUCAACAAAACUAUACAAAUAAACGAACAGCUUCAUAGUAUAUUCGUUCAAUCAUACAUUCCAACAUAUUCAUACAUAAGCCAACUGUGCUUCGAAAGGGUUCAACAUACUUUGUGUCAUUCGACACUUGCUACAAUGUGCCUCGACACCUUGCCUUUAUUCUCACAAACCAAGUGAUGAAAUGUAAAGAAGAUCUUCAUGCCACCAACCAAGUGAUGAAAUGUACAACCCGUACUCUCCUUCAUGCCAUCAACCAGGUGAUGAAAUGUACAACCCAUACUCUAAUAUCAUUUGGCAACUUGCCACUCAUGCCACCAACUAGGUGAAGAAGGAACUCAUCUUCAUGCCACCAACCAGGUGAUGAAAUGUACAACCCAUACUCUCCUUUAUGCCAUCAACCAGGUGAUGAAAUGUACAACCUGUACUCUAAUAUCAUUUGGCAACUUGCCAUUCAUGCCAUCAACCAGGUGAUGAAAUGUACAACUUGUAGUCUCCAUCAUGCCACCAACUAGGUGCUGAAAUGUACAACCCGUACUCUAAUAUCAUUUUGGCCACUCAUGCCACCAACCAAGUGAAGAAGGAACUCAUCUUCAUGCCACCAACCAGGUGAUGAAAUGUACAACCCGUACUCUCCUUCAUGCCACCAACUAGGUGAUGAAUGUACAACCCGUACUCUAAUAUCAUUUGGCAACUUGCCAUUCAUUCCACCAACCAAGUGAAGAAGGAACUCAUCCUCGUGCCACCAACCAGGUGAUGAAAUGUGAUGAAGGAACUCACCUUCGUACUAUCAACCAAGUGAUGAAAGCAACUCACCAUUCAUUCCACUUACCAGAAGACGAAUGGUACAACUUGUACAUGUGAACUCCUAGCAUUCACAAAUAAUCAAAAACCCUCAAGCUUGACGACUCAACUAGGGGAGCACUUAUACCCAACAAGAGUUAUAGUCACCAACAAAGUCUUAUUGCAAGCCAACAACAACUUCAGUGCAUGGCAUACGAAGAUCAAGCAAUUCGGCCCUCUUGCAUCUGCUUCAGACAUUUCCCUUCUGUAACAAUGCAAACACUACAACUCAUAGAAAGCUGCACACAUUCUUGAUCAAGAUAGUGUGAAGCAAAACCAAUUUAUGGUGCCAACAAGAGCUUCAUCAAAUGAGUUCAACCACAAUUCUCAAAAGCUUCACACACUCUUGAUCAAGACAGUGUGAAGCAAAACCAAUUUAUGGUACCAACAAGAGCUUCAUCAAUGGAGGGCAACCACAAUUCUCAAAAGCUUCACACACUCUUGAUUAAGACAGUGUGAAGUAAAACCAAUUUAUGGUGCCAACAAAAGCUUCAUCAAUGAAGGGCAAUUACAACUCUUAGAAAGCUUCAUACACUCUUGAUCAAGACUGUUCAAAGCAAAUUCAAUUUAUAUGGUUCAUCCAAACCUUCGACUACUACAAGGUGUGGCUUGCAUCACAAUCUCUUGCUCAACAGUGUGGAAGCAAAAUUUGUAUAUGUUGUCUCUCCCACAUUUUCAAAUUUCUAAUUUUCCCGAAAAAAAAAGGAAAUUGGGAAAUUCAACAAAGUUUCACCAAAAAGCAAAAAAAUUCAGAACAAAACAAAAUUCUCAACUAAAUUCUUCAACACUAUCUUGAUCAAGAUAGUGUGAAGCAAAAUCAAUUCAUGGUACCCAACAAAGCUUCACCACAAAAGCUUCAUCAAUAGAUGACAAUUACAACUUCUCAAAAGUUUCACACUAUCUUGAUCAAGAUAGUGUGAAGCAAAAUCAAAGCUUUCAAAGCUUCACCUACAAUGCUUCAACUCCAAAGCUUCACCUACAAAGCUUCAACUCCAAAGCUUCACCUACAAGGCUUCAACUUCAAAGCUUCACCUACAAAAGCUUCACCCAUAAUAGCUUCAACUACAAAAGCUUCAUCAAUAGAGGACAACUACAAAUUCUCAAAAGCUUCACACUAUCUUAAUCAAGAUAGUGUGAAGCAAAAUCAAUUCAUGGCACCCAACAAAAGCUUCAACUCCAAAGUUUCACCUACAAAGCUUCAACUCCAAAGCUUCGCCUACAAAAGCUUCACCCACAAGAGCUUUACUUAUAAAAGCUUCACCUAUAAAAGCUUCACCCACAAUAGCUUCACCCACAAAAGCUUCACCAACAAAAGCUUCACCCACAAAAGCUUCCCCCACCACAAAAGCUUCACCCACAAAAGCUUCACCAACAAAAACUUCACCUACAAAAGGUUCACCUACAAAGCUUCAACAUAAAAGCUUCACCUACAAAAGCUUCACACUAUCUUGAUCAAGAUAGUGUGAAGCAAAAUCAAUUCAUGGUACCCAACAAAACUUCAACCUCAAAGCUUCACCUAUAAAGCUUAAUAUAUAUAUUUUAGAAAUUCAAAAAUUCAAAAAUUCAAAAAUUCAAAAAUUCAAAAAUUCAAAAAUUCAAAAAUUCAAAAAUUCGAAAAUUCAAAAAAAACAAAACAAAACAAAAAAUCGAAAAUUCAAAAUUAAAAAAAAAAUUACCUAGGCCUCCUCUUCUUUAGGCCUAACAACUUUCAUAACAAAUAUAUAUGAAUGAGGAGUUUUGGGCUACCACUUAGAAAGGAAAAUGGUGAAGUUUUGUUACUUUGGAAACUUGGCUGCUAGCAAGACACCUCAUUCGUCCACUCCCUCGACCGGAGACUUGGGGGACUCCUACCAUAUGCUACUGCACCUUGAUACUCGGAAGUCUCACGACCACUCAGUGACUUAGAUUUUUUCAAGUCUUCAACCGAGAAGUUUUCCUCACUCGGGAAAUUAAGGGAGGACUACCUCAACCUACAUGCUUCACUCACAAAACUUCAACAUACAAGUUUCAACAAAAUGAAAAAUUCAAAGAACUUAGUAAAGAAUGCCUUGGUGUAUUUAACACAAUACGUUGAAAUGAAGUAAAGCUUGUUUAUUGAUAUCUUCAAUAAGUUACAAAUAUGUACAUAUAUAUGAAUCAAAAUAAACAAACAAGAGAGAGCCUUCACAAAGGUUGCUCAGGAGAAGUCUCAACAGUCGGCAUAGCCCCAGAAAGAUGAGGCACUACAGGGUGAUUAUUCGGAGCCUCAGUACUAGGCAGAACCUAGAAGGAUGAGGCACCGAAGGUUGAUCAUUUGGAGCUUCAUUACGCGGUACAGCCCCAAAAGAAGAAGGCAAUAAAUGCCUUUGGAACAAACCUAUAAACCUCUGAUGAUCAAGUAAAAUCUGACCAUUAGAUUCCUGCAGCUGGUCGAGCUUCAUCUUCAUGUUUGUAACAUAGUCAUGUGCGAGCCUGUGCAACUGUUUAUUCUCAUGCUUGAGCCCUCUGAUCUCCUGUUUGAGACUUAUCACUUUAGCCGUCAAUGAUUCAACUUGGCGGGUUUGAGCAAAUAGGCGUUGGGCCAUAUUAGACACAGAACCUGCACACUGAACACUGAAAACCAGAGAAUCCUUAACAACCAACUCAUCAGACUGUUUGGAAAGAUAUCUGUUAUCUUUGGGAGUGAAAAGGUUCCUGGCCACCACCGCAGUGGUCAUAUCGUUCUUCAUCGCAGAGUCCCCAACGGUAAGAGGACCGAUAGCGGUUAAGAAUGAUGGGUGACAUAUGUUGUCUUGAGAAAGCGCAACGGGGUUGUUGGUUCAAAAAUCAAAGAGGCACCACUUUCCACACGCAACAGAAGCUCCUCGGGUACCAAAGAUAACUUUACCAAAGAUCUCUGACAAAGUUUAGACACAUAAAUUUUGAAGGUUCAGCUACCCUACCAUUACCCACAAGGGUAAAGAAAUAACACCACUGCUUGAUAACUGGAAAGUCCCUGUGUGUGUCAACCUCCGUGCUCCGUGGCAAGGCAGACUGGCAAAAAUGCCAAACCUUUACUCACAUUGAGAAAACACUCCCACCAGGAUUACUUGCUCAAAAAUCGAAGAGGCACCGCUCCCCGAAUCUCGAAAGCCAAACUCCCACCAGGAUUGCUUUCUCAAAAAUCGAAGAGGUACCGCUCCCCGAAUAUCGAGAGCCAAACUCCCACCAGGAUUGCUUUCUCAAACAUCGAAGAGGCACCACUAUCCGAAUCUCGAAAGCCAGACUCCCAACAGGAUUACUUGCUCAAAAAUCGAAGAGGCACAUCUCUCCGAAUCUCGAGAGCCAUACUCCCAACAGGAUUACUUGCUCAAAAAUCGAAGAGGCAUCGCUCUCCGAAUCUCAAGAGCCAGACUCCCAACAUGAUUGCUUUCUCAAAAAUCGAAGAGGCACCGUUCUUCGAAUCUCGAGAGCCAUAUUCCCGACAGGAUUGCUUGUUCGAAAAUCGAAGAGGCACCGCUCUCCGAACUUUGAGAGCUAGAUUUCCUUGGAUAAAGCUUGUCUGCAAUCUUCACACGCAACAUCAGCUUUCCAGAUACCACAGACCACUUUUUCAAAGUGCUCUGACAAAGUUAAAACAUGUGAAUCUUGCAGCUCCCACUACAUUAUUAUGACCGAGAAGGGUAAAGGAACAAUGUUACCACUCGCUGUUAGGACAAUUUCUAUAUAUAUCGACCUUCAUCCUCCAUAGCUAGGUAGACCUGCAAAUAAAAAAAUGCUAAACUUUUCUUCACAUCCGAGAGGGCACUCUCAGCAGAGUCUCUCGAAAUACUCAGCUUCUUUUUCCCCCGAUAAUACCUCUGCAAACAAGCCACACCAGAGCAAGAUUAUCUCAUAUCAUCAGGGUUAAAAGCAAGAGUAUCCCAUAUCAUGCUUUUUCCCUAUCUUUUCCUUUGGCCUUGUUCUUACCUGCAAGAUAAGGAGAAAGAGAGCAAUCAGUUAGCACUUGGAAUCAAGCUUCCAGUCAGGAACUGACUGCCUGGAACCCCUUGCCUGACUACUUACCUGGCAUUGCUCUCGAGUACUCAUCUUCAACAUCUUAUGCUUCCAGAGAAGAUACCACAUCUGCCUGAGGAGCAGAUAGGGCAAGUGAGAAUGAUACAAGGAAGCAUGUGGAGACAAGAGUAACAGAGCACGUGCCGAUACAUCCACUACUUUGUCAACAGCAAAAGUAUCUCAUAUCAUCAGGGUCGAACGUACUCUAAAUUUGAUGGACUUGUUUUGACCCUCAAAUUCUUGAGUCGACCUUAUACUCUGGAGGAAACCAGAAACCCCUCCAGCCCAUUUCAAGAAUAAGCCUAUGGAAAGUUACUUCUUCAAAAGAAAAAGUAUCUCAUAUCAUCUAUUCUCCAUUUGCUUCUCCUUAUCCUUGUUGAUGUUUACGACACAAGGAGAAAGAGAACAGUCAACCGAAAGCCGAAGUCGAACCUCCGAUCCAGGUUGCUUGCUUGGAAGUUUGAUUGCUUAACUUGUCUGUUACCUCAUUCCGUAAAUUUCCUAGCUCGGCGACUUGGGGGACUCCUACUAUAGGGUUUGUAUCGCACUUGACCAAGCCCGAAACUACAAGUAAGCUUCAAGUGAAAUUGAUACAUUACCUUGUGCAUCUUCAUUGGUUAAAGAUACCACCCCUGAAUGGAGGAAAAGUACUUCCAGAGAAGAUGCUACAUCUACAUAUGAGACAGAUAAGGCAAGUGAAAAUGAUACCACACUUCAGUACUUAGAAGUUUCGUGAUUACUCAAUGGCUUGGAUCUUGCAAGUCCUUAACCGAGGAGCUUCCCUCACUCGGGAACUUAGGGAGCACUGUUUAUAUCAUACUUGACCAAUCCCGAAACUAUUAAGCACCGAUCAAUGUUAUACCGUCAAGGACCCAGAAGAGUUUCCCUCCAACCAGGAGGCCAAUCACAGCGUGACACAUGUCGACAUCAGAAGCCAAUCAUAGUGCGACACGUGUCAACAUCAGAAGCCAAUCACAACACGACACGUGUCAAUGUCAAAAUGAAACUAGAAACUCUCUUCUAUAAAUAGAGAUCAUUCUCUCACAAUAUUUCCUAAUGUCAUUUGUACUAAAUCAUUCACUAGUACUCACUAAAUGAGAGUUUGAACCUAUGUACUUGUGUAAACCCUUCACAAUUAAUGAGAACUGCUCUACUCAGUGGACGUAGCCAAUCUGGAUGAACCACGUACAUCUUGUGUUUGUUUCCCUGUCUCUAUCCAUUUACAUACUCAUCCACGGUAGUGACCGGAGCAAUCUAGCGAAGGUCACAAACUUAACACUUUCUGUUGUACCAAAGUCCUCACUGAUUUUGUGCGUCAACAAUCUUAAACAACCAAACAUGAAAAAUAAACUUCAAACCUCUAGCUUUAAAGUUUCACUUGAAUAUAUAACAUUGUUAUAUAAUAAAAUUAAGAAACUGUCAUUUUUUAUAAUGUUAUUAAUGACACUUAAAAUAUCUCAUUGUACUCAAAGUUUUUAUAUUUAGAAAGAAAAAAAAUACUCUUAUAAAGAAUGCACAAUGCGGUUUUAAAGUGCUAACAAAAUCAAUUUUUGAAUAUAGAACAUUAUUACAUGAUAUUAGAUGGUAAAAAUAUAGGAGCCCCUUCAAAUUUAAGACCCUAUAUGACUACACAUUUCACUCCCCCUUAACGCCCCCUCUGUCAUGGACAUGAAGAAUCUAACAGAAUACGAUCUCACAUCUCGUAACAUGGUGUAAUAGGGUUUUUGCAGAGCCAUCCAAUCAAUAAGCUCAGAUAUAGAAGCUUUUCCUAUCCACCCGUCUCUUUAAAUCUCAUUUAAGUACAAACUGUUUUGCUCGUGUGUGUGUGUCAUAUCAGAUCUUGUGUCUAUGCUACAUACGAAAUCGGCAAAAUAUUAAUAAAUAAAAAAAAUCAACAUUUUUAAUGAUACAAAUUCACAAUCGAAUAAUAUAAACAUGUAUUAAUGUUGUCAGAAAAUAUCACGACAAUAACAUUUUGGGUUUUGACCAGUCCAAAAAGUAUAGGUUUCUUUUUUCUAGUUUAUGAACAUGAUACACGCACAGGAAAAAUUAGUAUACGAUCCCUAUUUUUUAAUGUGCAUUGGCCGAGACUUUAUCAAUUUUUAGAUUUUGAUCAACGUCAUUAACAUUAAUGUUUUAGUGAAUUACAUGUCAGUUACAUAAUUUUUAAAAAUAAAAAUUAGUAAUUGAUUUAUGGCUUUAAUACUCACACCCUUAUUAAACUCCUAAUUAAUUUUCAAUUUAAAACAAUUCCAAAAUAUGAAAGAUAAAAUUAGAAUAAGUUUGUACCCAUUCAUAUAAUUUUUUUUAUUUUUUUUCUAAUUUUAAAUGUACCCAUUCUUAAAUAUACUAGUUUGUAACCAAUUUGUUAUAUGUAAAAUACUAAUUUGUUAUAUGUAAAAUGUACCCUUUUUCAAUAUAAAAUGUACCCAUUUUUUAUAUAACAUUCAUUCAAUCUUUUUUCUAAUCCAUUUUUUAAACUUAAAUUGGUACAUUCUAUUUCAUUGAUUUGAUAAUGUAUUCAUGUCAAAUUCAAUAGAAGAUAAUUAAUAAUAUUAUUAAGCCUAAUAUCUUUUUUUUGUGCUUUGAAAAAUGUAUCCAUGUUUUGGUACAAUAAUUUUUUGGAUAGUUUUGAUGAAUGUACCAUGUGUAUAUAUAUACACAUACAUAUACAAUAUAUUGGAGAGUAUAAAUUAUCUUUAAAAUUUUUAACCCCAUAAAUUAUGGGUUUUAUUUAAAAUCUCAUUAAUAUAAAUAACUACAUAUUUCAUUUUUAAUUUAAAAAUAUAAUAACCUAUAUAGAAUACAUUAUUACAUUAAUGUCAGACAUUUUGAUCAAAAAUUAAAAACUAUAAAGGUUUCAAUCAAAGAACAUUGAUAGUUAUCAACCGUAUCCAAAAGUCCCCGUAUAUGUAUAUGCAUGAAAUUAUACUAAUUAACCGAUGCAAUUAAUUUGAGUUUUGGUCACCAAUUCCAUAAAAAGAUAAUACAUUGACCCCAAAGAAAUAAAAAAGCCUCUGGAAAAAAAAUAAUAAAUAAGCCAAAGAUAAUGAUUAAUCAACCUCGAGUUGGUUGCCAAGUGAUAAAGAGCGAACUGGCUUCCUUCAAUCACUACAAAAAAUGUGUAGAGGUAUUAGAUUUGAAACUCACUGCUGGUGUGGAAGUCAGACUUGUGACCAAGGAAAUGUUGAAAUGUCUAUGUGAGUCUUUUCGGCCCCUGAAAAGAGUGAAUAACUGUGACUUGCCACUUGUUGUUCCCCAUUUAAAAAUUAAAAAUUAAAAAAAAAUUAAAAAAAAAGAGAAAAAAGAUAAUGAUGAAUCAGAAGUUGGGAAAGAAUCUUAUUCUUGAGUUCCACUGUACAAUAUAUACACACAUGCAACCCAGAAGGUAACCAUGUAGGUGCCCACUAACCAAUUCAUGAUGAUGUACAUCUAUAUGUUUAUUCUUAAUAUUCACAAUUCAAGCAACGAGCCCUGUGCCUCUGGGCUGGCCAAUUCCAGGAGAAAGUCGGUUGUGUAAAAUUUAGGAGGGAGGGCACGGCAUGCGGUGAAAUUUAAAAUUUUAAAAAUAUAGGAAUCCAAUUUCCAAAAAUCCCAAGUAAUUGAUUUUGGUUUUGCGUUUUCCAGUAGGGAAGCUUAGGCCUAAUAAUUCUUGACACGACUUGAUAACCCGACACGAUACGGCACGAAAUUAACAGGUGUUUGGGUCGACACGAUAGCGAAUCAGGUCAUUAUCGGGUAACCUGAUAAGCAUCUAUUAAGAUAACGGGUUGGUUCGAGUAUACACGUGAGUAACACGAUACACGAUAAGCAGAAUAUUAAUUUUAUAAUUUUAUAACCCUAAAAAAAUACUAUAAUAAUUAUAUAUAUUAAUUUAACAAUUUUAUACCCCUAAAAACUAUAAUAAAUAUAUAUAUUAAAUUAACUAUAAUAAUUAUAUAUAUAUAUAUUAAAUUUUAAAUUAAAUUUUAUACCACUAAAAACUAUAAUAAUUAUUAAUUAAUAUGCAUCCACCGUUCCACCCUUUGAAAAAGGGAGGGAAAAAUGAAAAUUAUAAGAAAAUGAAACAAAAAAGAGAGGGAAAGAUAGGAGUAAAAACUAUAAUAAUUAAUAUGCAUGUUGAUGCAUCUGCUCUUUGAAGAAAAAGGGAGGGAAAAAUGAAAAUUAUAAGAAAAUGAAAAAAGAGAGGGAAAGAUGGGACCUAGUGGUAUUUUGCUUGCUACUAGUAGUAAGGUAGUUUUUUCCACCGUAGUUCUCUCAUUCUCAAGUGUGCUGACACACCCCGACCGUAGGUUUUUCCACCGUUUUUCCACCGUAUUGUUAUUGAUAGGAUAAGAUCUGAUAGCUGUGUUGACACACCCCGACCGAGAUCAAAUGCUGGCCGUCACGUGAGAGUGACAUAGCCAUGUGCACAGUGCGGAAGCAAUAAAGAUAAGAAUUAUAUGAAUAAUUAAAAACCGAAAUACUAGAGUACACUACUAAACAGAAAGUGAUAGGAGUUAGUUACAAACGUAAACACUCCUAAUCAGAGCAGAAUAAGUCUAGGUGCAGUCCAGUAGGACAAGUACUAGUUAUACAGUACCAGGAAUAUCCUACUAUUAUUUAGAUAAGUCAGAACUGCCGACGUCCUCAAGCCACCAACAGCAAGCCUACUUAAAACCUGGGAGGGCGCAAAACGGAAAACGUGAGUGGGCAAAAACAAAUGUUUUACAAAAUCAUUUUCUUUAUCAACAUAAUAACCCCUCGCUAUAAAACAUAUAUAAAUUUUCCCAGAAUCAGAAUAUAAGCAUAUACAUAAUAUAUAUGAAAUCAUAUCAAUUCAAUUCAUGCUUCACAUAAUCAUAUUCAAAUAUAUGUCAUGCCAAGAUAUAACAGAGUAAGCAAUUCAGGUAAGAAUAAAUUCAUAGAAAUAUGAUAUGUUAGCCGGAACCCCUGUGGUAGUUUGUACAGCUGAAUUCAUAGCUCAAGCUACUCUAGCCGGAGUCACUACAAUGACCUAUACGGCAACAAACUGCACAUGAGUCGGAACCACUAAAAAGGGGUCUGUACGACAAAAUUGGGUGUAAUAUAAUUAUGCUCAAUUCUACUAUCUCAUAAUAGUUAGGCGAUAAAUCGCUAGUCACCUACAAGUCGGAACCAUAAGUAAGCUCUGUACGACAAGAUUGUGCACUUAAGUUGGAUCCAAUAUGAGCAUAUAGUGCGGGAGGUGACAUAAAUAAACAGGCAUGUACUUCAUAUCUCUAGUUAAAUCACAAUCACCCUAGGUGCAGUUUAUGAGCUCAACAUUAUUCAAUCACAUAUCACAUCAUCGAUGAUUAACAUAACCAAACAUAACUUACCUGAACUUACAUGGACCUCCAUAGCACCACAUUUAUAUAUAUAAGGUAUCACACACCAAGUCAUAUACGAAACAUAAUUGUAUAUGCCUUGCAUUUAUGGCAUAUUAUCAUUUAAACAUAUUUUUCUGGGAAAAUAUCAAGUAUAUAAAUAUAUACUGAAAACCAAAAGAUCACUCACUGGUAUGUCGACGGGUCGUAACCCCCAAGUCACCCGUGGAUACGCUCGUCCUCGGGAUAAGUCUCACCUAUAUGCGAAUUAACUAUAAAAACAUUAUUUUAAAGCACAUAUACAAAACUAGCUAAUAACUUCUCAUACAUUGUUCAAAAUGGGUAUAUGAAUAUACCAUGGUGAUAUACACAACCUCAGGAUCAUCCCCAAAUUUUUAGAUAAAUUUUUCGAGCUCCCACGCGCCGGCAAGGGCACGGCAAAACGCGCCCCCACGCGGCCAAACCUGACGCAUUCCCUAACCACCGUUAGGGAAUAUUCCGUUAAAGCCUAAUAGAUUCCAUUAAAACUGACUGACGGCGUCAACUUAUUCCAUCCAAACUGACGGAAUAUGCCGUCAUCUUCUCCGACUAGUCGCCGGUCAUCGGAAAACUGGGUAAAACUUUAAAAUCACUAUUCUCCUUCAAUUCUUCACCAUUUUUCAUGAAAUUGGUACCAAAAUGAAGCUAAUAACAUGUAGAAUCACGUUAUACAAGUUUCAAGGCUUAAAUUCUACUAGAUUUUACUUGAGAAACCUCGAUAAUCCGAUCAACUUUGAAAACCUUCGAUCUCGGCCCUCCGACGUCAAAACUCUUUCAACGAACUACCCCGAGCUUCCUUAGGACCUCCUAAAACUCCCUGUGAGAUUGAAAUCUUCUGAAACACAAGGUUUUACGUCCACAUGAAUAGUGCAUGAAAAAAUGAAUUUCGGGUUCACGAGUUUUCGAAGGAAUCCUUACCUAAAAUUGGUACCUUGAACUCGUAGGGUCCUCAUGAACACAAUGGUACCAUUUUCUUCCUUGAUCUGUGAGUUUUGAGAGGUCCUUGGUGUUGUCUGUACAAGAAGAAAGAGAGAGUAAGUGCGAGAGAGAUGAAAGCACAGGAAGGAAGGGAGAGGGAGUGGGUGUGGUGUGUGUGUGAUCCACGUGGUCACCAAUCCAAAACCACACAAUAAACUCUAAGUCUCAAUAUGUCACACAUACACGCUACAAUUUCCCUGUCCAAGGAUAAAACUGUCAUUUCACGUCAUCGAAAAUUAAUUAUUCGGGACGGGCUGUGACAUGUGUUCCUAACACAUGUAUGUCAUUUACCUCUCUCUCUCUCUCCUUUUUUUUCUUGAGAAAUUUUUCAUUGUAACGGGAACACAAAUUACACCAUGUGUUUUAAUAGAAGUGGUGAGAACUUUUAUUGUUUAAGUUAUUAACUUUUUAUCACACAUAUCCCACUAUUUUUAUAAUGACAUGUGAUGUACUACUCCAUGUACCGGUCAAUUAUACGUACAAAAUAAAUAGAUUUAAAUCAACAUAAUAAAUAUAUAUAUACACACACACACACCAUUGAACUUGAUGGGAUACGAAUUGUACGAAACUAAUUUCAACGAUCCAACUGUCAAACUUGUUUGUAUAUGCUUCGAUAUCGCAUCAGCAAAAAUUACAAAAAAAAAAACAUUCAGAGAUCAAGUAACCGAACAAAACUUUUUUAUGGGUAUAAAACGAAAAAUCACGAUUUAACGGUUAUUUUAACUCCGAUUUUGAUUAUUUUUUAUAUCUACACUCCUUAAUCCUAUAUGAAUACAAUGAAUGAAUUUGAUCUUCAAUUUAAAAUAUUUACAAUAGUGGAUACCACAAAAUCUUAUGUUAUACUUAAUGAAAGUAUAAAUAAACUCUAAGUGGUAGUGAAUCUACCGUUUUAAUGGGAUACGCAUCCUACGAAACUAGUUUCAACGAUCCAACCGUCAAACUUGUUUUUAUAUGCUUUGAGAUUGCAUACGCCAAAAUUUGAAAAAAAAAAAAACAUUCAGUGAUCAAGUAACGAGACAAAACCUUUCGACAGUUAUAAAAAGAAAAAUCACGAUUUAACGGUUAUUUUAACUCCGAUUUUGAUGAUUUUUUACAGCUACACUCCUUGACCCUGUAUGAAUAAUAUGAUUGAAUUCGAUCUUCAAUUUAAAAUAUUUACACUAGUGGAUACCACAAAAUCUUAUGUUAUACUUAAUGAAAGUAUGAAUAAACUCUUAAGUGUUAGUGAAUCUAUUGUUUUGAUGGGAUACGCAUUCUACAAAACUUGUUCAAUGAUCCAACCGUCAAACAUGUUUGUAUAUACUUCGAGAUCGCAGAUGCCAAAAAUUGAAAAAAAAACAAACAUUCAGAGAUCAAGUAACGGGACAAAACUUUUCGACGGUUAUAAAAAGAAAAAUCAUGAUUUAAUAGUUAUUUUAACUCUGAUUUUGAUGAUUUUUUACAGCUACACUCCUUGACCCUAUAUGAAUACAAUGAUUGAAUUCGAUCUUCAAUUUAAAAUAUCUACACUAGUGUAUGUUAUACUUAAUGUAAGUAUGAAUAAACUCUUAAGUGUUAGUGAAUCUAUUGUUUUGAUGAGAUACGCAUUCUACGAAACUAGUUACAAUAAUCCAACCGUCAAACAUGUUUGUAUAUACUUCGAGAUCGCAUAGGCCAAAAAUUGCAAAAAACAAACAUUCAAAGAUCAAGUAACAGGAUGAAACUUUUCGGUGGUUAUAAAACGAAAAAUCACGAUUUAACAGUUAUUUUAACUCCGAUUUUGAUGAUUUUUUACAGUUACACUCCUUGACCCCAUUGAAUACAAUGAAUAAAUUUGAUUUUCAAUUUAAAAUAUUUACACUAGUGGAUACCACAAAAUCUUAUGCUAUACUUAAUAAAAGUAUGAAUAAACUAUAAUAAUGGGAAGUGUUAUUAGCACUCUAAAAAAUGUCAUUUUACACUCCUCACAACUGUAUUUUUCUUUCCCAAUAUAGAAAGUUUGGAGUGUAGAAUGAAAUUUUUGCAGUGCUAAUAACAAUUCCCAUAAUAAUUAUACAUCCUUGAAGGCCAAAGUUGCAAUACAAUUUCCUCAUGAUGAUCGAUGUAAAUUGAGGAUUUUGUAAAGGAAUAACAUGCAAGCUUUGAGUUCCAUUGGUAAGGUUUAAACUUUUGAAAAAGGCUUCACAACCUUGAAAACAAAAACUCUUUCAUUUUGCAUAUCCUUGCACAUUUAAUAUUUGUAAUAGAUUAGUAGUGUAUGUAUUUUUUUUUUAUUAGGCUCUUAUUUUCGAGUGUAAAUAUAGUACUUAAACGACAAAUGUGUUUUAAUGUUUUGAAGUAAUAUUUAUGUGGCAAUGUGUGGUAUGUGCAAAUUUAAGAAAAGAAAUAUAUUUUUCUUAACGGGUCAUAACGGGUCAGGUCACUUUACCCCUGUUAAGGACCCGUUAAGAUAACAGGUGUGACACGACACGACCCAAUAAGAUAAUAGGUAUUACACGAAAACGACACGAACACGACAGACAUGACCCGUUUGCCAGGCCUAUGGAAGCUCAUCACGGUGGUCCACUCGAAAUGUCCUUUUUCUUCUUGACCUUCUUUGACCUUAUGAUGUAUGUUAGAUGCUACCCAAUUAUAUAUACAGGGAUACGAUCAAGGGACAAACAUUUUAACAAAUAUUUUUAUACUUUUUUAAAUCUUUAGAUUACAAAACAUCCAAACGUCCAUAUUCAUUCAUUAAAUGACAUGAAUGCUUAAGUGGAUUUUAACUAAUAUUAAACAUAAAAAUAAAAUUCAAAAAGCAUAAAAUAUGAAAGGUAAUUAAAAAUAAAAUUAAAAAGGAGAGAGGAAAAUAAAUCACACUUUAGAAAAGGAAAAAAAAAAGAAUUUUUUAAUGGAUUCCUUUAAACCUACAGAUGACUUUUAACAUGAAAGAUGGUUAUCCAUCCAAACCCAUCAUCUGCAGUAUUGCCUUCGGUGUUGCUUCCACAAUUGUAGACUGAAAGUAGUUCUUUUCUCAGAUUUUUUUUAAUAGAUUUGGUGUUUUACUCGAGAGUAUAGGUCUAGUUGAAGGGGAAUCACCAUAAGUAGUGGAAACAAAUGCAUUAAUUAACUCAUGGCUUUGUUGAAUUAUUUCUUGGCAAUCAAUCUUUUGCUCAUUCCUUUUUUGUUAUUUAUUAAGGUUCAUUUUUUAUAAAAUGAAAGAGGAGAAUUCAUCCAAGGCAUUGCAGGGAGGGAGAUGGAGGCUACAGUAUUUUCAUGUUUUUGUUUUUCUUAUUUUUUUUAUUUUUUUAUGCUAGGUUCAAAGUUUGAUUAUUGGUUUUUUCAAUUUUAUCCUAUUAGAUGGAGGCUACAGUGUUUUCUUUAUUUGUUACAAUCCACAUCAUCAUCCAAGUCAUUUAAUUUUAAAACUUUCCACAUCACUCUUAAUCUAGACCGUUGAAUGUUAUAAAAUCUAAAGGCUACAAGGAAGUGUAAAAAUGUUUGUCAAAUAUUUGUCCCUUGAAUGGAGAUUAGUUGUGGCGCUUACUCCAUGUCGUACUUUAACGAUUUGAUUAUUUUGUAAAUAUUGAUUUAUAAAUUUUUUUUGAAAAAAUUCAAUCCAAUUUGAAAUCAUUUGUGCAAUUAAUUAUCACGAUGAAAUAUGUCAAUUUCUCAAUUGGAUGCCUCAUUAUCUGGUUAGUGUUUUGCAAAGAUGAUCUAUGAGAUACAACUUGAAAAAUAAACGGUUCAAAUCGUUGAAGUUCGAUAUGGUGUGAACCCCAUAACUAUUCCCUUUUUAAAAGUAAAUUAAAACCCAUCCCACUUAAGGCUAUAUAUAUUCACGAGAGAGAGAGGGGAGGAGGAGAGAUAGGUGGUCCAGUCACCAGUGAUUGUAGUAUGUAUGAGAUUCCCAGAUUCCCAGCUAAUAGCAUUAUGAUAAUCCUCCCCGCUGCAGAAAACACUCUUGCUUUUCCUGUAUCCUACAUGCAUACAUUUCUUUCUUCAAGCCCCGAUCAGUCGUACAUUUGUUUGUGUCUUGUGUGACUCUUUGGGUUUACAACUUUUGAGAGAGAGAGAGAGAGAGAGAGAGAGAGAGAGAGAGAGAGAGAGAGAGAGAGAGAGAGUGAGAUAGAGAGAGUAGCUAGAUACAUACAAGGCAGAUGAGCCUAAACUUAUAUUCUCUUAACUCCUCCUCUAUACAUUCGUUCAUUGUAUAGCGCAGAUGGGAAAAUGAGCUCACUGAUCCACUAGCUAACUGUGCGCAUGCAGGACAAGGGAUAUUAUUAUUCUGAUCAUAUGGUCUAGGAAUUAGGAAAAUCUUAUGUAUAUAAUCGGAAAAUCUAGAGUACUCCACAUUAAUUAUUGAAGAAACAGCCACUUAAGAGUCUUUAGAUCCAAUUUAAUAACUAUCAAAGAAAAUUUAUCACGUAUCUAUUUUUUUAAGAAGAAGAUUACGAUAUUUCAUUCGUUGAUAAAAUGGCAUUACAAAAACAUAUCAUGAAGAACUGGAUUCCGAAAGGGUCCUUGCAAACUAUAUCUAAAAUUAUUACAAUAAAGCAUCACUAAUCGCAAAGCAAUGAGUAAACUUCAAGCACUUAUCCGAACUCAUCAAGAACCGCACAAUUGCACAGAUCAAUAAAAUUGUUAAACUUCAUGUUACAAGGAGAUCAUGUGAGAACAAAAUCUUCAACCAUAAAUUAGGAUAGGAAGUACGAUAUCUAUGGGUCGAUCGCAUCACCUAAUAACUGCCAUGAUCUCAUAACACCAAAUGAAGCAGAUCCAGCAAGUCAAACAGCUCCACUAUUCACACAGAGAUCCAAAAGAGGUAGCUAGCACACCAAAAUGAAAAUGAAAAUCAAGGUCAUGCACUCUCUUGUAGAAGCAAUCAAACUAGCAAACUCUUGUACAGAGAAAAAUCAAACCAAACUCUAAGACAAUUCCUGAAAAAGAUUAAAUUAUGUCACCACUCCACAUCCUUUGGACAUCAGAAAGUCAUAUUACUAAACCGGUUAAACCCAAAGUGUAGUAGUGACUAAACUCUAUCCCGAUGCAAUUGAACAACUUUUAUGGCUUCCUGCUUCAACCCUAUAUCGAAGGUGUUAACUGAAUCCAAAACCUUGUGUUAACUGUGUGUGUGGGCCAAAAGACGACGACGACUAUCACAGUGACUACAACGUUUCACGAUGACAAUUCAAUACCAAAUAAAGUAAACAGAAAGUGAAAGGGAAGAGAGAAAGAAUGAUUUUCAAGAAGACUGCCGACGAUCCCAAAGCCAAAGACAGAACCAACGGCAAAGAAUAUUUCCUUUGUUUUUUCGCUAAUGGUUAGGGUUAAAAAAAAACAAUCACAUAUCUAUUUAGUUAUAUUAUUUUUAGUUUUUUGGUUUCUUCAAAGUUUUUUCUAUUUUUUGGUUUCUUUUUUUCUUUUUUUUGGGUAUCUUUUCCUUAAUCUUAACUCAUUUGAUUUGUCGUCUUAAAGAAUCAAAGAAAUAAAAUCUCUAAUUGUCUUGAAACUGUAUGUUUUUUCUUUGUCGAAAAAGAGAAUUGAUAAUGGAUAACGUUAUACAAUCAAAUCGCCAAGACCACAACUAAAAAGUUAGGAAACCCUAAAUUUGUGUUAGAUUUAUGAACCAACGGUCUAAAUUAAAAUGUAAUUUUGUCCGAAUGGUUAGACAAACCGUAUGAUCUAUUCAACAGAAGCUAGCUAGAUUGGAAUAAUGGGAUUUAUCUGCAGGAUUAAAUAAAUAAAUAAAAAAGUUUCUUGUUGUUUAAAGAAUGUUUAAGCUUAGAAAUUAGAAAAUAAUCAUGUAACUUCAUGAAUCUCUUGUGAUAACAAAACGUAAGCGAAUUUAAAGACAAAACACAGAGAAAACAAAUUAAAAAAAAAACAAAUUAUUAUAGCUCCUUUUGGGGUUAUUAACCAGAGAUCAUGAGAAAUAUCCAUGAGACAAGCGUGGAACAAGAUGGAUGGAUUUUGGUGUCAUGUGUCACGACUCAUGAGAGUAACUCUGAUCUGAUCUGACGGGCAACAUUGUAACUAAGUAAUUGUAACUUCCAUGUUGUGUCAGGCUUCGACCUUCUUUUUAACCGGAUCCAGCUUCUAAUUUUACCGUAAUUUGGGCCAAAGCUUUUGCCACAGUUUGUUUUUUUCCAGUGCCGCUCGUUAUAUGUGUUAUGGUGAAAUUAUUAAAGUCUCAUGGAAAAUAAUACAUGUGACAACCAGUAAAAUGACAGAAGCGCCAUAAUUAUUUUCUCUGCAAAAGUAGAAGCAUCUCAUCUCAUCACAUACAUGGAGAAUAAAAACCCUAAAACAUCCACAUGAAGAAGAAGGGAGAAAAAGAUAAGAGUACCUCUUCUGAUCAGAAACAUCAGCCUCCAUACUUUGUAAAUUACAAUGCUGCCGCUGUGGAAUAUUAUUAUAAUUACCCAACAUGACCAUAAUACCCUAGCUAGCUAGUUCUAGCUAAAAUCUUUGGAAAUGAGAAAAAACAAAAGGCUUUGAAACUAUCUGCAAAAUUAAAGAGGAUGAAGAAAUAGAACAAGAUGAAGAGACACAGGCAUGGACAUGGGUUUUAUAUGCUUGGCUCCUCAUACGCCAUCCACAGAGGCCAUCGCUGUUCGGUGGGACUCUGCAAAUGGCAUACAGGGAGCCAGGCACAUAUUUAUACAUAUAUGCAUAUGUAUGCAUGCGUGAAUCAUGUUAGCUAGCUAAAAAUAUAUGCCACUAAUUAACAAAACCUACAUGGGUCAAUUGAUGAGGUAUUUCUUACAUAUCUACCGGCUAGGGUUUUUAGAAAAUAUUCAACUCUAAAACCUAAUCGAAUGCUAACCCAACAUCCUACCCGCCUUGAAUAUGAAUACCAUGCAUAUGUAUGCUAUAAAAAUGAGUUAUUUUGUAUGCGACAUGGGUUUUUGAGGAAGAGCAAAUUAUGCAUGGACUUGGAGUGAAAAAGAUUUUGUAGGGAAAGCUAGAUCGGAGAAGCUUUGCCAUGGCUAUAGAGGGUAAGACAAGGAGAGGUUGCAAUAGUGGGGGGAGAGAGAGAGAGAGAGGGUCAUAUAUUGAGGAGAGAGAAGGGUGGAGCGAAAAAUGGGAUAAUGAUGGGAACUGGGUCAUAAUCAAAAUGGAGUUUCAAAGCCCCACAGCCAUAGAGGAAGACCCAUUUGAAUUGGCAUAAAACAAGCAAACCAGAGGGUUAAACUUAGGGAUUUAAAGGGGUAUAGCCUAAUAUUUUGUGGGGUUUUCUUUUUCUUCUUUUCUUGUGUGUGUGGGAUUUUCAGAGUGAAAGGAGGAGAAUGUGGGGUUGGAGUUGUACCCCCAGCUAUUGCCCUCUAAAUAUAGGCACCAAGCCAACCAGGAGAGAGCAACAAAGAGAUGAGACCAAGAGAGAGAGAAAAUAUGGUUUGUUUGUGGGUUGGGUUAAUUAAUAACCACGCAAUUUCCUAAGCCAGGCCUUAUGCUGUUUGAAAUCUCCUUUUCUGGGUCGUAAAGCAAACUUUGCUUUUCUCUUCUCUGAAGCUCACUUUGUCCGGGAGUGCUUGGAAGACAUGGAUUCCUUCCAUCCCUCUCCCUACUUUCAUUUCCUUUUUAAAUAAAAAAAGAUAAAGUCACCUAAAAGAGAAAAAGGAAAGAAUACCAUAAUUUUACCAUCUUUUUCUUUUUGUACCAUCACCUCUUUAAUCUUUAUAUUCCUUUUUCCUUUUUCCUUUCUCCUUUUUCAUACCCUUCACACAUAUUUUAUUACUAAAUUUCAUUAUAUAACACUAUUUUGCUUCACCAACAGAGAUUUGUACUUAACCUCACCUUUUUUUAGAUAUUAAAAUUAGAAUAAUCCAUGACAUGUUGCUGGCUUUACUUAAUUCGACCUUUACUUCUGUCUAGCGUCCAUACAGGUUACAUCCCAAAUCACACUUUGAAGAACAAUAUUGGGCUAAAGGUUUUGAAGAAGUAUCCUUGUACCAAAAUUUAUGUUUAUGAUCAGAACUAUUCGUAUUAUAAAUUACAAUGUAAAAAUUAUCACAGUAAAAAAUUCGAUAAAAUAUAAUAUUGUUUAGUCACUAAACUGUAUAAAAAUAGAUGGUCGACACCGGUAAAAUAUUACGGGUAUUCUAUCUAUUUGCUACAAGUAAUUGAUUAAACAAUCAUACCUUUAAUUAAUCUUUUGCAUAAUAAUUUAUAAUACGAAUUAUUUUGAUUAUAAACACGAAAUUCUAUAAACCAAACAUUAACUACUUUAAGGAGAAUUUGCUACAUAAUCAUGUGGAGCCAAGUAGUGCUCCACUUAGAAUUACCCUUUUAAUAUUAUCUAUUUUAUAAUAUAAUAUAAUAUAAUGUACAUGUUAUAGAUAUAUAAAAUAAAUAAUUUGGAGCACAACCAUCAAUCUAUAUAUAGUCAAUCAAAGAGUAAUGCUCUGCUAAGGACCUAAAAAUGAGGUCAUGUGAAAAUCAUUUUAUUUAGGCUUUUUAGUCAAAAUAGUUUUUGAGAUUGGCAAAACUUCUCAUUUUCGUAGUUCAUAUUUGAGAAUCAAUAAAAGUGGUCUCUGAGUUUGUCUACCAUCAAUCAUUUUGAUAAUUCUAUGAAAAGUCUCUGUUAAACGAGGAUAAAAUGACAUAAAUACCUUUAAUUUUUGUCAAAUCAUUUUGGCUCAUUGUUUAUUAAUUGAGGGUAUUUUUGUUAUUUUGGUCCUAUUUAACAAAAUUUUCAUGAAAGUACCAAAAUGAUUGAUAUAGUAAACAAACUUAUGGACCACUUCUAUCUAUUUCAAAUCUCAUGCAUUAAAGUGAGGAUUUAUAUCAAUAUCAGAUAUCAUUUUGGCUAAAAAAGCCUUUGUUUUUUUAAGACUCUUAGAUUAAUCUAAGGGUAGAUAGAAUCAUGAAAUAAAUCUUUGAUUCAUAAAGUUGUUUCAUCCAAUGAGUUUUAUCCUGCAAUGGAAAAGUAAUUUGAUGUGUGCAACUUGUCCCGAAACCAUGCAUUUCGAUCCGACGGAUUCCACUAUAGCUUCCAUGGCCAACCCACUUCGACCUAAAGGAUUCAGGUGCUGCAAAAUUACACAAUUGUAUGGCGACCUAGAUGAGAAAACACGAAAAGAACAAUGUAUUAGAGUAGAAUGAGGGUAAAGUUUGGGAGAAAACUAACCUUGGAGAGGGCAUAAAUUUUGGGGAUGGGUUUGAUGUUUGACGCCUUCCAAGGCAUAUCCCUUGGCAGUGAAGAAACACUUCCACCUUUGCAGGACAUGCCCUUCUUUUGUUCGUAGACAAACUGUAGAGAUGUGGAGAGAGAGAGAAAUGUGAGUGUCUCUACGUCUGUGUGUGUGGAUUUCUGAGUUGGAUGAUGAAGAAGUUGAAUAUUAUACCGGAAAAACAUGUUUAUUGAUAGAUGAAAAUACCAACUACAAAUAGGUCCUUAUAUAUAGAAAGACUAAAGCAAACCCUAGACUAAAACCAUAAAAGAAAUCCUAGACAAACUCAAAUACUUAAUGGGCAAGUAACUAAUCCUUGGCCCUCAAGAUAACUAAUAACAAUCUAAAUUCAAUCUAAAUUCCAACACCCCCAGUCAAACUCAUGGCGGAACACAGACAUGAGUUUGCCAAAGUAGAUGUGGAUGCAAGACUCCAAAUUCCAGUGCUAAUGCCAAUGCCAAUGCCGAUGCCAACUUCAAACUACCAUGCCAAUGCUGAUGCCAACUUCAAACUACCAUGCCCAAUCAUCCUUCCUAGAAUCAGAUUCUGAAGCAGUUGCAAUAUGCAAAACAGAAGCUGCUGAGCCUGCAAGUGGUGAUUUUUGUGGAAAUUCAUGUUGCUGAGAUAACUUAGGACAUUGGGAUUUCCAAUGCCCUUUCCCUUUACAAUAAGAACACUCGUUCAUAGCAACCCUACUAGAUCUUGCUGCAGCCAAUGCUGAAGUGUUUGACAAAGAUGAAGAGAGCCUAUGCGACUACACACGGACUUCUUCGGCUUGUAACUCAUUAAGAACAUAAUCAACAGAUGGAAGAGGAGUUCGAUGAAGGAUAGAGCUACGAAGUGUCUUGAACUCAUCCCGAAGAGGCAUUAGAAACUGAAUAAGACGUUGUUCUUCUCUAUAUUGACAAUAGACCUUGACAAUGCCAAGUUCUUCAGGCUCAGUCAAUGCAAGUUGAUCCCAAAGAUUGGUCAGUUCAUUGUAAAAAACUUGAAUACUCUUAUCACCCUCCUAGAUUGCACGAAUCUCCAUUUCUAAUUGAUACCUCUUAGCAAAAUUGGCCUUGGUAUACAACUUUGCCAAGUGAUCCCAAACUUCCUUAGACUUUGAGAACUUAGCAAGUUGCAUUCCAAUAGUCAAAUCAACAGAAUUAUUAAUCCAAGUAAUGAUCUUUGAAUCAUUCAUCUCCCAUGUAGCAAACAAUUCAACAUGUUUCUCAUCUUUGGGGUUAUUUGGAAUAGAAAUCAUUCUAGAAACAUAGCCCCACAAACCUUUUCCAAUCAAAAAAUUCUUCAUCACAUACGCCCAAUACACAUAAUUAUUUCCAUUUAAUUUCACACCAAUAGCUUGUAAGGAAUCAUCCUUUGCAGAUGCCAUGACGACACUAAGGAACAAGAUACCUGAUAGCAAGCAGGCGACGAUGCAACGGUGCAGAUGCAGAAUCAAAGUGCGACUGAUGCAAAAUCAAAGUGGCUGCGAUGAUUGCAGCGAUCAAAGCAAGUACAAAUUCAAACCGGUGCAGGUAGGUUGCAGUCGGAGGGGUCCAUAUAGGUGCAGCGGUGCGGAGUGAUCUGGUGCGAUGGUGGGCUAGGCACGGUGGUUCCUGAGAUAGCGACCUUGCUCUGAUACCAAGUUGAAUAUUAUACCGGAAAAAACAUGUUUAUUGAUAGAUGAAAAUACCAACUACAAAGAGGUCCUUAUAUAGACAAAGACUAAAGAAAACCCUAGACUAAAACUCUAAAACAAAUCCUAGACAAACUCAAAUACUUAAUGGGCAAGUAACUAAUCCUUGGCCCGCAAGAUAACUAAUAACAAUCUAAAUUCAAUCUAAAUUCCAACAGAAGAUGAUGUUUACUUUUUCAUAUUGAGAUAGAAUUGAUUAGGCAAAACAAUUUUAUGAAUCAAAUCAUGAUUCUAUCUACACUUAGAUUAAUUUAAGGCCAUCUUCAACCGGAAAGAUUAAACACAGGCCCGUCUAGAAUUAUAACACUUCAAAAUUUUAUUUUUAAAUGAACAGUAUCAUGCCAUACUCUUUUAAUAUCUCUAAUUGAAGGGACUAAACAUAGCCCUUCAAUAACUUAUUAGUUUUAAGUUUAUACUUUAAAAUUAGGGAACUUUAAAAAAAAGCUCCCGGUACUGUUCACUUUAAUGAAAAACCACAUUUUUACACUAAAAAGUCAAUCCUGGUACUAUUCACUUUACCCUUUAUUUUGUCCUUAUCGUUAAAACUCAAAGUUUUCAAGCCAUUUUCAUUAGUUUUCCUUUAAAAUUAUUGGUUAAUUUAGUUAAACUACCAUUAAAGUUUUCAAAUCUAGCCUUUGAAUUUGAAUCAAUUAUUGCAACUGAGAAGCUGGGCCCCAAGAAAGAGCUAAGAUUAUAGCUUAAUCAUCGGUUGGAGAUGAGUUUUUGGCCAAAUCACACUAUUUUUUUAGUUUUUGGACCUUUAACUCUUUCUAUUGAAGAUGAUUGAGGGUCUUAUAUUAGACCAACUCCAACCAAAAGACCUAAACCCAAAAAUGUCACUCAAUGGUAAGACCUAAACCCAAAAACUUUGGGUUUUGACCCAAGUAAAAACCCAAAUUUGGGUUUCUAUUUGCCUAACCUAAAUUUUUUAAGGACCCACAUUUGUGUAAAGGGCAACAGGCAAUGGAUUUCUUGUAAUGGCCGGCAGUUGGGCUCUAGUUAGCAAGGAGCCCAGCUGCAUAACGGUAAAUUUUUAAGAGACUGAUGGUUGUUUGAUUUCUGGGCCAUUGGUGAUCAACAGUCCAAAUUAAAUGCCUUUUUGGGCAAUUUUUGAAUUUUGAUUUCACGAUUCGUAUUGUUUUUUUUUUCAAAUUCAAUGAUAUAAAAUAAAAAAGAUUCAAUGACUAAUGUGACGACCCGUCCCUAAUUUUCCAUGUAAUUUUCUUCUCGAGUGUGUGAAAUGACAAUUAUGCCCUUGUUGGCAAAGUGGAACCUAACGUAGACGUUGUUAUUCAGCUUUUAAUUUAUUUUUCUAUUAUUGUAGUUAAAUAGUACUCGUUGUUACGAAUGCAUGAGCAUGAGUUAGACCCGAAUCGGAUUUGUAACGAAGAAGUUACACUUAGUUAAAGAGCAUUAACAACAGAUAUUGUACACGUGACACUGUUUUUGAUAAGGUGACAUAGAUUUUGUGUACUUGUAAAUUGUACAAAAUAUGAAUCCCUUCUCUUUAAAAACCGGUCACGUGACCUUAUCUCACCCACCAAUCAGCUUUCCUCCUAACCUCUUACCCAAUCAGAAACCUUUUCCCUUGCCCAAUUAGAAGCUCCCCUCUCCCUCUCUCUUUCUUCUUCUCCUUCUCUCUCUCAUGCCAUGUCUCUCUUCCCUCUGCAACAACUAUGAACACUCAUCAAACAUCACGGAUCGGACUUCAAAUGACCACCAUUACUCAUCUCAUCCCCACGAGUCCAUUCGUACGAGGCGAUUAAAAAAUGAUCGAGUUUUGAGCUUCCAACUCGGACCUUCGACUCAGGUGUAUGUUCUUUGGCAACUUUCCAUCCGAGUUGCAAGGUUUUGGAAGGUCUAGAAGUAACUACACAACUCCCUGAGGUCCCUAGCCUAAGUUUGAAGUAGAGCCUACGUGUAAACAUGUGGCUUUAAAACGUUGGAAAUAAGGCCGAGACUUUCGAGGCAUUUUCAGUCCAUUUCCAUCCAAUUUUUGGACUUUUAAAAGGUACAAUCUUCUUCUUUUCUUCCCAAGCUUCAUUUUCAUAUAAAGUACAUAAAAAAUGGUUGAGAAAUGAGGAAGAUAUGAAGUUUUAAAGUUUUUACAAAAAUCCGGCCAAAAUUUUCCAAAAUCCAGCGAUGGUAACAACGGACAGCGACGAUGGUGACCAGAAAAUUGGAGAAGAAGGAGAAUAUUCCGUUAAAGUUGACGGAAUAUUCUCACGCCGUUAAUGUGAUGACCCGUCCCGAAUGUAUAGUUAUUUUACCCUCGAAAGCGUGGAAAUGUCGAUUUUACCAUUAAGCGUUGGGUUAUGAAUGUAUAAAUGGGCUAAGAAAUGGACCAAUUAUCUUAUGCCCUAUUUCUUUAGACCCGAUAAAAAUUUUGUAGGGUUGUUAGGACUAAAUUUGGUAGCCCAAUUGGAAUUUAAGUUGGUUUAUAUGUAUGCCCAAUCUGGACCAUCACACACACUCACACAUGCACACGUUGACUUCACUCUCUCUCUCUCUCUCUCUCUCUCUCUCUCUUUAUUAUUCACCAUCCGUACAAUUUGUACAGUCAUUCAUCCAACCACCCUUAAAACGUCGUAGAUCGAGUUAGACUAGGUUGUUUUUGGACUCCUUGCAAGCUCAGGAGUCGAACCAUACCUUUAGUUUGACGUGAGGACUUCGGAAACUCGAGAUACCCGAGCUCCGGCAAGGGAUGCAAAUUGCUUCGUGGUGAUCGCGAGUGUUUCGUGGACUUUUAAAGUUCUAGGAGGUUUUAAAACUACUUCACGAAGCUUGUAGAUGAAUUUUGGAAGGUUUUGGACAUCAGGACACUCGAGUUCAUCGAGUUGCAGGUGUGGCCGAACUAUCGAGACUUUUUCCGGCCAGUUUCCAUUGGUUUUAGGACUAAAAGUGGUAAGACUUUGUUCUCCUUGUCCAGAGCUUCAUUUUGGUACAAAUUUCAUGGAAUUUGGUUCAGAAAUGAAUGAGACAUUAAGGUUCAAAAGUUUUUCCAGAAACCAACGAAUGCAGCGGUGGCCGGCGCCGAACUCCGGUGAACCAAGGAGGGAGAAGGAGAAUAUUCCGUCAAUUUUGACGGAAUAUGCUAAUGGCAUCAAGUAAAAUAAACGGAAUAUGCUGUUAUUUAACGAAAUAUUCCCUAACGCCGUUAGGAAAUUCGUCAGUGUGCCAGGCACUUGGGAACUUAGAAAAUUUUUCUAAAAAUAUGAAGAUGUUCGUGAGGUUGAGUACGCCACGAUGGUAUAUUCAAAUACACCAAUUGAGCAACAAAUGAGAAGUUCUUCCUAGUUUUGGUUAUGUGCUUAAAAUUAAUGUUAAAAUAAUUGUUUCCCAUAUAGGUAAGACGUUUAUGGAGGACGAACGCAAUCAUGCUAGACACGGGGGUUACGACCCUGCCACAUACCAAUGAGUGGGCUUUUGGUUUUUAAUAUAUGUAUAUAUACAUUACGUUUUUCCCAGAAAAGUUUAUUUAAAUGAUUUUGCGUUUUUAUGCCAUGUCAAAUGCUUUAUAUUUUAGAAUAUGCAUUAGUAGUUAUGUAUGUUAGUAUUUGACGUUGCGGACACUCAACUAAGUUCUAGGUAAGUAUAUGUGUUAUUGAUUGUGAGUUGCAUUAUGAUGGUUAGAUAUAAAUGCAUUUAGAGCUCAUAAACCUGCACCCCGGUGUUAGUGUUCUCGCCCGUAGCCAGAGCACAAUCAUUCACGUGAUGUUCACCUCCCGCAUCGCACACUUACCUUGGAUCCAAGUUUGGUGCAUAACUUUGUCGUAUAGACCACAAUAGGUGGUUCCAACUCAUAGGUGACCCACGAUUUAUCGCACAGCCUUCACGUGGUCGUAGCACUUAAGCAUAAUUAUUACACCUAGCCCUGUCGUACAAACCACAUUAGGUGGUUCUGACUCGUGUGCAGGCAUACUUGACGAGCUAUAGGUUCAGCCGUACAGGCCACAAUAGGUGGAUCCGGCUGACAUAUCACUUUUCAUUGAUUUACUUCACAUGGUUUACAUAUUCAUUAUGCUGAGAUAUUUGACAUGGCAUACAUGUGGAUUUUGGUAUUUCAAGUAUGGUUUCAAUAUAUGUAUUUAUUUUAUUUUCUGGGAAAUUAUACGGGUUUUAUGGUAAGGGGUUAUUAUUAUUUUUGGAAAAGAGAAAUGAGUUUGAAAAGCUUUAUUUUUGCCCACUCACACUUUUUGUUUUGCGCCCCUCCAGAUUCUAGGUAGGCUUGCUUAUUGGUGGCUUACAAGGAGUUAGCGGCGGUUUUGACAGACUAUAAUCAAUGUAGGAUCAUAUCUCUAGUAUUGUAUAAUUAGUACUUGACCUGCUGGACUACACUUAGGUUACCUACGCUCUGAAUAAGUGUAACUAUACCUAAAUAUUUUCACUCACACUUACAUAUUUGUUUAGUGUAAAUUAGUUAGUUUGGUUUUUAUUUACUCACAUUUUAUAUCAUUAUCACUUCCGCACUGUGCACAUGGCUACGUCACCCUCACGUGACGGCCAGCAUACCUUGAUUUAGGUCGAGGUGCGUCAGUUAAGGUAACUUUGUUAGACUUAACGAAAUAUUCUGUCAAAUCUAACGAAAUAUUCCACUGGGAUCUGUCAACGCAUGCAGCGCAUGAAGGCACGUACGGUUUCAUGGCAACACGUGGUCGACGUGUAUGGGUCCGUGACGUCGCGUAAAAUGUUUUCGUAUAUUUAAAACCUUUGUUUAAGCAAACUAUGGGGAAUUUUCCUAGCCUUUUAGUGUAUUCCUAAUUAAUUAAUUACUAUAGUUGUUUCACAUGUAUGAGAGAAUUAUCCCGAGGAGGUACGAGGUCAAGCAAGGCUAGGAGGCUACGAUCCGACUACGUAUCAGUGAGCAGGCAUUUGUUUCUAUAUAUAUUAUAUAUAUAAAGUUUUAUAUUUUCCACAAAUGCUUUUGGAUUAAUAUUAUGCUUAUAAUGCCAUGUUUUUAUUUCAUCUUAAAAGUGCUAUUACAUUGUUAAGAUUUAUAAAUUGUCAUGGCAUGUUCAUAUACAUUUUACCUGCUCAUCAUGCAUGCUUGCAUCGGUGUAGUACUCGCCCCGGGCCAGGGCCAGGCUACACGUGUAUGUUCACAUCGCACCACAUGUUUACUUUAGAUCCAUUGUAGGUGCCAAUCAUGUCCUAGGUUGCAAUAGGCAACUAGAACUCGUAUGUGAUGCGCCUAGCGCCAGUCUUCACGUAAUUGUAGUAUUAUAACGUAUUAUUAUUACACCCAGUCUUGUUCAUGUCUAAAUUCCUCUGCAUGAACUCGUGUGUUAGCAUAGAUUGAUGAGCACUUGAUUUUCUUAUGCCACGGUUGAGAUAUUAUGAUUUGUGUGUUUCUUUAAGUAUUGUUGUAUUACCUUUGAUUUCAUACCUAUACGUAGUAUGAUUUUAUGGAAACUAUACAUGUUUUACAGCGAGGGGUUAAUAUGUUCAUAAUAUAAAUGUGUAUAAUAAAUGGUACGAGUCCUUAUCUCAUUAGCUGCAAAUUUGAAUUGGCCAUUGAAAUAGUUUGAUGUAAAAAAUGCGUUUCUUCAUGGACAUCUAGAGUAAGAAGUAUAUAUGGAUUUUCCUCCGGGAAAUAGUAACGGAGGAAAAUCGGGAGUGUGCCAAUUGCAGAAGUCACUUUAUAGGCUUAAGCAGUCACCUCGUGCAUGGUUUGAGAGAUUCACUCAAGCCAUGAGAAAGAAUGGGUAUUAUCAGAGUCAGUCUGAUCAUACCCUAUUUGUGAAGCGGAGAAACAGUAAAGUAACAACCUUGAUUAUUUAUGUGGAUGAUAUGAUAAUAACAGGUGAUGAUUCAGAUGAGAUUGUCUAACUAGAGAAGAACCUUUCUACCGAGUUUAAGAUGAAGAGUCUAGGUGACUUAAAGUUUUUUCUUGGAGUUAAAGUUGCUCGUUCAUCCAAAGGUAUUUUCUUGUCUCAACGAAAAUAUGUUCUGGUUGAAGGAAACAGGUAUGCUUGGGUGUAAACCCGUGGAUACUCCCAUUGUGGAGAAACAUUACUUGGGGAUUUAUCAGGAUCAAGAACCAAUAGAUAAAGGCAUAUAUUAGAGGCUGGUAGGAAGACUAAUUUAUUUAGCUCAUACCCUUCUGAAUAUAGCCUAUGCAAUAAGUGUGGUAAGGUUAGUUCAUGCACUCACCAUGUGUGGAUCAUAUGGGAGUUGUUAUGCGGAUUUUAGCUUAUUUGAAGUCAGCUUUGAGAAAGGAAUUUUGUAUAAAAAUUUUGGUCAUCCGAAGAUCGAAGGAUUUACUGACGCUGAUGGGGCAAGUGAUGUGACUGAUAGGCGCUCUACUUCUAGAUACUUUACGCUUGUUGGUGUAAAUUUAUUUACUUGGAGGAGCAAGAAACAAAAUCUGAUGUCUAGGUCUUCAGCUGAUGCCAAAUUCAGAGGUAUGGCGCAUAGAGUAUGUGAAGUUCUUUGGUUGCGUAAGUUGCUCUGGGGUCUAGGUUUCAAACCAAAGGAGGCCACAGAUUUGUAUUGUGAUAAUAAGUCCACACGUGAGAUUGCAGAGAACCCGGUACAACAUGACAGAACAAAGCACGUGGAGGUUGAUCAUCAAUUCAUUAAGGAAAAGCUUGAGAAGAAGAUUGUAUCAAUACCGUUUGUGAACUCAGGCGAGCAACUUGCGGAUAUCCUCACUCAUGUUCUGUGUAGUAGGUCUUUUGGUGACUCACUUGUCAAGUUGGGCAUGUGCGAUAUCUAUGCUCCAACUUGAGGGGGAGUAUUGUCGUGAGUAAUAUUAAAAAGGGGAUGUAAAUAUAUUAUAAAUAUUGGGAGUCCUUUAUUAGGAAGGAUAUAUGUUUGUGUCCUUUAUUGUUUAUUGUUUCCUUAUGGAACAAUGAUUGUAUCUUGUAUAUAUUUUUAGUUAUGUAAUACAAUGAGAAUUAAGCCGUAAAAUUCUAUUAAAACAUCUGGGUAUUUCUUUAUUGUUGGUGUUGGGUGAGUUGCUACAAUAGGAAAUAAAAAAGUUGCUGGCAAUUGAAUUGGUAGACGAAGAUUAGAGAAGCAAUUUAAUUAGGUUUUUAAAAUUUAAAAUAACUACAAAAUAUCUUUUAUAAUAUAAAAAUGGGUAAAUUACAUAAAACUACCUCAACUAUUGGAUCAUUAACAAUUUCAUACCUCAUCUUUAAAAAGUUUCAAUGUCAUACCUUAUCUUCGAAUUUGUUGCAAUGUCAUACCUUCUAUCAGUUGUUUGUCAAUUCCUCUGUUAAAUGCUAACGUGGCUUGAGACGGGCCCACUUUCUAUUAAAAAUUAUUAAAAUAAUAAUUUACCAUUAUAAAAUUAUAAAAUUAUAAAAAGUAAAAAAAACCCAGAUCCCGUCUUCCUCAACCCCCAUUUCCUUGCAUCCAUCCUCUCGUCUUCCCGAAACCCACCCUUGCACCCAUCAUCCACCUCCACCUCCACCUUCGUCCCCUCCCUCAACCCCCUUCCCUCCGUCGAUCUGCACCCAGAUGCGCAAAACGGCCACGUCGACUCGAACGCAGACUGGGAACCGGAAUGCAGUCCGCGUCCAAAUUUUGGCGCCGGAGCGUGGAGCUUCGGAACUACCGCCGCAAUCUUGAGGAGUUUAGGUCUCUGGAAAUCGAUGGCGGACGUGAAGCUGCUAAUGCAGCUGGGGUGCUACACGUCCAGGUGCAUAUCGUUGGAGGGAAAUGGGUAGUCGGAGUCGGAGGUGGAGGAUGUGGAGGAUGGGUGCCAAGGGUGCGAGGGUGGGUGUGGAAGAGGAGGUGGAGGAUGGAUGCGCAGUGGGUUUGGGGAAGACCGGAGGAUGGGUGCAAGGAAGGGGGGUCGGGGAAGAUGGCACCUGGGUUUUUUUUUUUUUUUAAUGGUAAAUUAUUAUUUUUUUAAUUUUUUAUUAAUUUUUAAUAGAAAGUGGGCCUUGCCUCAAGCCACAUCAACAUUUAAUAGAGGAAUUGACAGACAACUGCAGAAGGUAUGACAUUGAAACUUUUUAAAAGCAAGGUAUGAAACUGUUAAUGACCCAAUAGUUGAGGUAAUCCAACUCAGUCUAAGCCAAGCCAAUCCAACUUAGUACUGCUUAGUCUAAAGCCAAGCCGGUCCAACUUCGUCCCUGAAGUUAAUCUAGUCCGAGAUAAUCCAGUGCAACAAACGCACCUUAAAUAUACUCCUUAUUAAGUCAUGAACUAGCUUUUGCUACCGUACCAAAUUAAAUUGUGUUGUACUUAAUACAAGCACAAUAUCAAUGUAGUGAAUGUCAUCCUUAAGCCCAAUUUUAAUUGUACCGUGCCCUUCCCAUCCCCUCCUAUUUGUGCGGUCACGAUUAAGCUACGUCAACAUUUUAUAUUGAUUUUUUAAUAGAGAUAAUAAGUCUAAAAGCAAUAAGAAUAUAAAAUGUUAACGUGGCUUAACCGUGAUCACAUAAAUAGAAAGGGAUGGGAAUGUGACGAUAACAGGAGGGCAAACAAUCUGCCUCCAUUUUAAUUAUCUUUAAAGACCCUUAAACAUAAUAUUAUCAAUAUGAACAAUGUCUAACACGUUUCAUCCAAUCACAAACCUUGCUGCAUCCAUAUUGAAUUAGCAUCAUGCCACAAUAUCUUCACAUACAAAACCAUGAUAUUGUCUUUGAUUAUAUCGUUGAUUAAUAAAAUAUAACGUUAGGCCUAUUAUUUGAUAAAUUCAAUAAAAGAAAACUACAAUUUGGCUUAUGUCCAAUUCAGGCUACAACUAUCGCAAAAUUAUAAAUUUAAGGGUACGUUUAUUGCACCAGACUGUCUCGGACUGGACUAGCCUCAGGGACUAAGUUGGACUAGCUUAGACUAGAUUAAGUUGGACUAGAUUAGUGAAGCGUUUAGUGCAGUGUCAGACUAACAAGCAGAAUAAUUAACAAACUCUAAUAUUAUAUUUUUUAAUUCAUAAUUAUUAAUAUUUUAUUUUAUCCUUUUUUUUAUCCCUUUAUUCCUCCCUUACCGUCCCAUUCUGUCCCUAUUUUUCUCCCUCUUUUUCUCCCUUUUCCGUUCCAAUCUUUUCCUCCCCAGAUUAAACCUCUCGAUUCCAGACUCUCUUUCCUCCCUCCUUCUCGAUUUCAAUCUCUCUCUCUCUCUCUCUCUCUCUCUCUCUCUCUCUCUCUCUCUCUCUCUCUCUCUCUCUCUCUCUCUCGCUUUGCACUAGUCGAAUGGAACCCUCACGACUUCAUUUAUUUUUUCAAUGAGUUGCAGGUUUCCCAACGAGUUUUCCAACUAAACCUCGCCGGAUUAGAUGAGGUUUGCACCACUAACAAACUCUUCCCCAUCUCUGGUCCCAUAUCCAAGCUUUGCAUGCUCGAAUCUGUCAUGGAUUCGAUAAAACCCAAACCGGACGAGACUUCCAGGCUAUUUUUCGGCCACCUACAACCACCUUUUGGCCUCGAUUCAAGUAGAAUCGUAAUCCCCUCAUUCCCAUCUUCAAUUUUGUAUUUUAUAUGAAAAUUGGUUGUGAAAAGCAUCUAAUCCAAUGGUUUUCGAGGGUGAGUGGUCGAGGAGCAAGGUGAGGAGGAGAGAGGGGACAGUCUUAGCUAGUCCCAUGGUUUUCGAGGGGUCUCACGAAGACCAGCUAGUCCCUGAUUUAGUAUAGGCGAGUGAGACUUAGUCUCAUUAAACCUAGUCCCUGUCGGGAACAAACAUGGGAUUGGACUAACCCUUAGUCCAGUCCAAUUCUGUACACUUUAGUGAGGGCAAACAAACGCCCUUAAAAGUAUAAACAAUUGGCUUAUUAGCUAAUGAUAAUAUGUUUAUAUAUAUAUUUGAGUUAGAGUCUGGGAACACACGUUUUUGAAGUAUAUAUAUUAAGUAUAUUAUAUCUUUGUGCCGACCUUUUCAACUAGACAUUUGGAUUUGAUUUUGAUGGAAAAUAACAAAGUCUUAUAUAUUUCACUCUUUUCUUGCUUCACCGCCUCAUUUGUACAAGACCAAAGCCAAAAUUACCAAUCAUAUUGUAACCUUAUGCGAUUUUUCUACGAAUAGUCAACAUCAAACGAGAAUCUCUUCACCAACAGAAUAAAUUUUAGUUUGACAUAUAGAAGCAGGGGUUUGUCAGAAUAUGUUGUCUUUCUUUUGUAUUUGAAGUAUUUCUAUCUUAUGACCGUUACUGAUUUUAUUUCGUUAUACAGUGAAAUCAUCAUUAGGAUUAGUUUCGCCUUGAUAGAGAUCCGCUUGAAAGCACCCCUUUUAUUAUGAUGAUAGGGGCGGAUGGUAGGGCUAGAAUAAGCAUAAUUGUUGGAACGCCUAGAAGUGAGACAUUAAUUAACAAGAAAAAUAAAUUGAAUUGAACAUCCUAAUAUUAUGUGUAAUUCCAGUCGUGGAUAUGCUAUCUUUAAAUUAGUGUCUUAUUCAUGUCUCCUCUCUUAUUUUUCAAUUCUUGUCACAUUACUCAACUCCAACUUAAUUCCUUUUUAAGUUUUAAUGAAUUAAAAGCAAAAUACUAAGAAACGAAAAACAAAGGCCAAAGUCCCACAAAUCCACGGCCGACAGCCAGCCACCCUUACGCCUCAGUCAUAGUCAAUUAAAGCACAAUAAUAUAAACCAAUGAUCCUUGUUGUAGAUCUGAAUCUUGAGUCAAAAGAGUAAAAACUUCGAGGGCAGGCCGACGCUGAGUUAGCGUGGGGUGGCAGGCAUACACCGUUUAGUGGGAGAGGGGGUUGUCGCCGAUGGUGUGGGGUUGGCUGGCGUCGGUGGUUGUCGGGCUUGGGUGGGUGGUACUUUGGUGAGUAUUGGUUUCUUUGUUUUUUCAUUUUCUCUUUGCCCAACAAAAAAUUAACGUUGUUAAAGUAGGAGUUAAAUAAUAUGACACGUGUUGAAAAAAUUAGAAAGGAGAUAUGAAGGGGACCCUAUUUUGACGAUACUAGACCUGUAGCCGUGGAUAUAGCCACCUUUAUAUUACAAAUCAUGCAUUAAUUUCGACCAGUAAUCUCUUAAAACAAAUUGCUCAUUCGUGAAAUAUAAAGUGGGAAUUUAUAGUUCUCCUGACAUUUAUUUUAUACUUUUGACAGGAGUUUAGUUUUCGUUUUCCUUCUUAAACUCGGUCGUGGAUCAGUUGUCCCCGUUUUAAUAUCUCUUACAUGUCUCCUUUUAAUUGCUUAACAAGUGUUCAUUCAUUUACCAAAUAAUUAACACUGUUAACUUUUAGUAUAUAUAACAUAAAAGGUUUUUAUCGGCAUGUUCAUCGGAGAAGCUCGACCCAAGGCUUAGGAAGAGGGCAUUGUCACGUUAUCUAGCACGAUGCUAAAAUCCCCUAGCGCGGCGAAUCAAGCUUGAAUAGGUGGAGACUCGGUAUUAAUUAUGGGUUAUGAUAUCCACACACUUUUUUAAUUUUCGACCGUCAGAUCGGAUGAAUUGAAGAAAAUCAACGAACAGAAUUAUCAAGGGAUGUAUGAGAAGUAAAAUGGAGUGUGUGGAUAGUACAUCCCUUAAUUAUUUGGUUACAUCACGUUGUAACACCAUUAAGUGUUAAGGUAGGGAGCCUAAAUAACGAUAAUGGGUGAUUCCAUGACGUCUACUUAUAAAAACUUACACGUCUAUACUCUAACAGGACGUUCAUGGUGUAAAAAUUAACAUUGAUAGUGUAAUAAAAAAUAAUAUUCUAUAAUCUUGUUAUUAUUAUAUAAUGCGCCCAAUAAACUUUGACGACUAUAGUAUAACUUUGUUAUAGUGAAAAGUAUCAACAUUUUUUUAGAGAGUAGCCUAGAAUUUCUGUUAAUUAACUACUAUAUACACAGGUUAAGUAGUCAAGAAAUUAAAAUCUUUGGUUUUCUUGGGCAAACAUGCGCAAUGAAAGCAGAUAUCUAUCAGGAAUCCUCUUCGUAUUGGAGUGGGUUCUUUCCCAUUCAAAUACUUCGGUGUUCUCAUGUUCCAAGGCCGGCUAAUGCGAAGUUACUUUCAGGACAUUGCGAAUUAAGUAAAAUAUAAACUCUCCGUUCGGAAAGGUCUUAUGCUUUCUCAAGUGGGUCGCUUACAGCUUAUUACGUUUGUCAUCCCAAGCAGUGUAAUUUACAGUUUUCAAUUGUACACUUGACCUCGUCUUCUUUUAGAUCAAGUCAAAACGUUAGAUAAGAAAUUUUUUGUGGUUAGGUGAUCCGGACUCUUGUGGUACUCUUUUAAUUUCUUGGCAUAUUUGUUAUCACCUAAACAUCUUGGUGACCUAGAGUUGAAGGAUUUGGCAGUUCUAUUUCGUUCUUUGUUUUUAAAGUGUUGAUGAGAUAAGGUGGAUUCUUCCUCUCUACGUGCUCGCUUCUUUCACACAGGUUCGGUUCCUCUUUUUCCACUUAUAAAAAAUCUUCGUGUGAGUGGGUUUUAAAAAGGUUCUCCCUAUUAUCUCUUCUCAUUCAACUUGGAUUGUGGGUCAUAGUUCUCAAGAUUCUUUUUGGUCUGAUAAUUGGUUGGGCAGACCUUUGUUUCCUAUCUUGACAUCUCUAAUGCUCUUGCUCAUAUGAUUAGAGCACGAGUGAGAGACUUUAUAUGUGGUUCUUAUUGGGAAUUACUGCCGAAUUUCACUACUAAUUUUCCUGAAGUUGCUAAUUUAAUUACAACUACUCAUUUUCCAUUGCAGGCAUCUUCAGACUUUUUAUGAUGUCUAGCUCUCUCGCUAGUAUUCUUACUGCCAAACUGGCUUAUUCUUACUUACUCUACUUUGAUAUCCAUGUGCCUCGGAAAGUCUAACAGGGUUGUCUCCCUCACUAAUAAAGGGCUCCCACAUAUACAAGUUUCGAUGGUUUCUCGUUGCCAUUUUGUAAUUCAGUUGUUGAGUCUCUCUGUCACAUUUUUUUAGAAUGUUCUUGGACUAUGGGUCUUUGGUCUUGGUUGUUGGAGCUUUUGCGCCAUCCCUAUUUAGUGAUACAAUCUGUAUUACAAGUUUUUCCAUAAACUUUUCUUGCACUUUUUCUGGUUUUAUUCGAAACUUCGGAUUAUAGUGACUUGUACUUUUUAUGGGGUACUGGGUUUCUUUGUAAUCAAAUUCGAUUUGAGGGCAAGUCUGCUUCCCUAAGUUAUGCGAGGUGCUAGCUAGUGGCUUGAUUUCGUGACUCGACGCUAGUUUGUUUUCAAGUGUUUGCUCCUCAUCUUCAGUGUUGCCUAUUUUUUUCAAUAUUGGGUAUCUCGCCGCUUUCUAUUGUGGCUCCAUCCCUUAUUCCAGUUAUUUAGAAGUUGUUAAUGGUUGCUUGGCUCAAGGUUAACAUCAAUGGGUCUUGUACUGACGCAUGUGCUGUAUUUGGGAGGAUUUUUCGCUCAUCGGAGGGUGGUCAAACACAAAAUUUAUAAGUUCAGUUACUGCGUAAAUUUUUGCUUUCAUUGAGGCCAUGCAUAUAGCUUGGGUCAGAGAUUGGAAACAUAUAUGGAUUGAAACAAACUCCAUGUUGGUUAUUCACUAUCUUUUUAAGGCUCCUAAUGUGGUCUCUUGGCUUCUGAUGGUGGAUUAGAAGAAUUGUCUCUGUCCACUUCGUUGCAUGUGAUUUAUGUGUAACAUAUUUAUAGAGAAGGAAAUCAUGUUGCAUAUACUUUAGCUUCAUUUGAGGCAGAUAGUUAUGCUAAUUACUGGUGGUCUAUGGUUCUAGAUUUUGUAGCAUUUGUCCAUGCUCGUGACAUUUCGUGUUGUCCUUAUUAUCGUUUUCGUUAAACGUUUUUCCUUUGGGGUCUUGGCAUAGUCUCCCUGCUUGUAUUUUUUUCAUUUACUUUCAUUAUUAUCAAUAAAUUUGGUGGAGGGAUGGACGUAGGAUUUUUGGGUGUAAUGAUCAUUUCCCUUUUGGAGGAGGAUAAGUGCCUCGCACACAACCAUUGCCGGAGAAUUAAUCUCGCUUAAUCUUUCUCUAUUUAAAAAUAAAAUAAAAUAAAUAAAUUCACUGAAAUUAUAUACCUAUCAAUUACAAAUUUGAAAUGCAAGAAACAAGAAUUGGAAGUGCAAAUACUAAGCAUUGGCUAACCAAUGUAUAUAUAAUGAAAUAUAGGACAGUAGCAGAAAAGUAAUUAUCAACACAGAAGUCCAAGAGAGCUUUGUAUGAACCUGGAUUGUCUUACCUCCCCUCCCAUACCCUUCUUAUCAUCUUUUAUUUAUGUGGUCACGGUUAAAUUACGUCAAUAUUUUAUAUUAAUUUUUUUAUAAAAAUAAUAAGAAAAAAGCAAUAAAAAUAUAAAAUAUUGAAUGACUUAACCGUGACUACAUAAAUAAAAAAUAAUGAGAAGGAUAUAGAAUGGAGAAGGGCAGACAAUCCAGGUCUGGCUUGUAUGUUGUCCACAAGUAGACGAACAAAACAAUGACGCGACCUUUCAGAAGGACCAAGCGUUGAAGGGAUCAUGAUAGGAUGGCCCGUAAUUUGAUUACCUGAUAUUACCAUGCAUUGAUGUGGACUGUAGACAACCAUCAUGAACAUGACCACGAAUAAGACCGUGCUUUUCAAGAAAAUAUUUUCUUGUUCUCUUCUAUAACUUUUUAAGGGUUAUUAAUUAAUAGUGGCUGUCACAAAAAGAACGAAAGAACCAUUACAAUAUAAAGAAAUGAGAAUAUGAAGAAUUCGAUAUGCGAUAUAAAAAAAUGAACUUUAACGAAAAAUUUCAGGUACUGUUUAUUUUAACGAAAAAUUAUAUUUUUACACUAAAAAGUCAAUCCUGAUACUAUUUACGUUACACUUUAUUUUAUUCUUAUCGUUAAAACUCAAAGUUUUCAAGUCAUUUUCAUUAGUUUUCCUUAUAAAAAAAACCUUCAUGUUAAUUUUAUAUCUUGAUUUUUCAUGUACAGGAAGGUAUGAGAUACCCACAAGUGAGAAUCACGUAAAAGAGAAUCAUAUUCAAUCGUUUCAAAUCCUUAAUUGUUAGUAAACACAAGAAUUAAAUCACACACUUGACUUAUAAGAGUAAUGUUAGAGAGAUUAAAUUUUUAGAUAAUAUUUAGUAUACUAAAUGACUUGGAAGUUAGUAAUUAAAUUAUUAUUUAAACGUCGAUAAACGUAUUUAUUUUCUAUUUAUGACAUAUAAUUUAGUUUGCAAAUUUUGAAAUAAGAAAAUGAUGAAUAUAUGUGGAAAGAAAUCAUGAACUAAACUUUAACUUGUAGCAAACUCAUUGGCUAUUUCAUGGAUACUUUUUUCUAGAAAACUCGAUUGGUCCAUGGAAAAGUUCUAGUCAUCGAAAUAUUCUUCUAGCUAGGGUAACAUUACAUAACUAGGCUUUAAAUAUUAUAUUUGGUAAUGUUGACCUAAUAGAAAAAAUAUAUAUAUAUAUACAUAUAUAUAUAUAUAUGUAUAUAUGGCUUACACAAAAUCUUUGUAAACGAAGACAGUGUUCUCAUGGCUAGUGACAAAUUGUUGUUUUGAAACAAAGAUAUGCUCUCCUUUAGAAACAGAAAGAACAAAGAUAAAACCCUUAUUAUUUCUCACUAAGUAUGUAGAACGUUCACUGGGAUUUGUUGGCUUGAAAAUCAUGAGAAACCCAUUAGGCUGUAGAUAAAAGGCGACACGAAUUAGGGCAUUCACAUACAAAAGCAUAUGUCCAUCCACCUUCAAGGCAUAAUUUCAUAAGUAAGAACACAUAUAAGAGACGGGUCUUGCGAAACGUACGUGUUCAAACGAGAGGAUGAUCGGUCAUAUAUAUUCUACUGAAAAUAUAACUUUAGCCUUUGAAAUUUAAUUUUUUUCAACAUAAAAUCCGACAUAAGUUUUUGACUCGAAUAAAACUCAUUGACUAGAUUCUACAUCAACAAAUUCAUUAAUUAGAUUUGACUUUACACAUUUAAAAAAUUUCGAUGCCCAAACACCCCUAUUUGAAUGUUUAAUUUACACAAUUAAUUCCAAACAAAUUGUAAGGGAGAAUUAAUGAUUUCACAAAAAAAAAAAAAUAAUAAAUUCAUUCUCUAAUAUAUAAUAACAAUAAAACAUGCCUAAUAAAUGUAGUAAUACAUGCUUAGUUAAGUCAAUAAAAUUAUAUUUUACAUAUAAAUGUAGGUAAAUUAUUUCACACACACAUAUGUAUAACAAAAAAAUUAAAUUAAAUUAAAAUAAAAAACAUGCCUGAUAUACAAAAAAAUUCAUGCAAAAUAAUUUACCUACAUAAUAAAGCAAACCCAAUAUAUGCAAAGUACAUGCAAAAUAAUAUACCUACAUAAAAAUGUUAUUAUUUUAUUCAAUACUAGUUUACCUAUUAUUUGUACAUAUAAUAAUAAAAUGUGCCCAAUAUAUAUGAUGAUACAUACAAAAUAAAAUACCGACAUAAUGAAGAAAUGUUAUUUGAUUCAAAAAUAAUUUACUUACAAAAUAAAGCAAUUGUAUUUUAUUCAAGAUUAAUUUACCUAUUAUUUGUACAUAUAUGUUAUAAUAAUAAAAUGUGCCAAAUAUAUGUAAUAAUACAUGGAAAAUAAAUUACCUACAAAAUAAAAGAAUGUUAUUUGAUUCAAUAUUAAUUUACCUACAAAAUAUAUGUUAUUUAUGUGUGUGUGUGUGUGUGUGUGUGUGUAGGUAAACUAUAUAUGUAUAUAUAUACACAUAUAUAUUGAGCUUAUGGUAGUAAUAUAUAUAUGUUUGUACCAUACUUAGGGCCUCUGUAUUUAGAUCUCGUAUAAAUAUUCGGGGGACUCAAAUGUAAUUAUGUAAUAAAGGAAUGGGCAAAUAUGUAAUAAGUGAGGAACCCUUAUUCUAUAAAAGAACUCCUCACUCUCCUCAUUGGGGGAGGCCAAUUCUUAGGCCUAAGAUCCCCAAACUCCCUCACAUUCAGAGAGCCUCAUUCUCACAUUAUAGAUGCUCUAUUCCUCACAAUCUCCUCAGAGAAAUACAAUAAUCAGUGUGGACGUAGCCCAAACAUUGGGGUGAACCACUAUACAUCUUGUGUUAUUUACAUUUCUUGCAGAUUCACGGUCGGAUUUACGUUGUUCCAAGACCUCCAGUUUUGUGCAUCAACAUUUGGCGCCGUCUGUGGGAAUCGACACGAAGUUAUGUCGGUUCUCUCUCAAUUUUUCACCUCCGCCGUGAAUCUGCAGAAACCCAACAACCAAACACCUGUAAAGUCACUGCAAAACCCAUCCCUAAAAAAUGCAGAGAUGAAAACUCAUAAACUCACCCAUAGUUUCUUCUCUCUUUCUCUCUCUACCAUUAUUUGUCAGUUACAAUCACACCCAUUUAAUCAGCAUAUGAGAAGAGAGAACGAGAUCAAGCUGCAGUCCACGUUUGGCCAAAAUCUUCAGAGCAGGGACCAAAAAUGGCGGAGCAACUAAUAGAGGAGCAGAUCGCCGAGUUCAAGAAAGCUUUUUGCCUCUUUGACAAAGAUGGCGAUGGUCUCUCAGCUCAUUCCUCUUCUGUCAAAUAAUUAAGAACAAGAUGGAGAAGCCAAACUCAUCUGGGUUGGCAAGGACUAAGUCUAAACAAUUGGUGGAAACUGUAGCCGCGAAGUUGAAAUCACCUCCGCCGGGUGAAGCCACUUCGACGGUUGAAGGCGGAUCAACACUGUCGAGGAAGUCAAGCCAGCGCAUGAUGAGGGCGUCACCCGAGCGUGGUAGUGGCAGUGUUGGCAAAAACACACACAUCAGGAAGUCCAGGAGCGCCCAAAUGAAGCUGGACAUGGAUGAGAUGAGCAGUGGUGCUACCUUAAGCCGCGCCUCUAGCACCAACUUAGGAUUUUCGUUCCCUUUCACCAGCUUCACUGUGCCUGUUGAUAAUAUCGCCGACACAAAGCCUUUCAGCGAUGACGAUGAUUUACCUUCACGCAAUCGACGGACAAUGACGCUCGACACCUUUCCGUUGGCUGCUUCGGAUCUUCAUAUCAUGGACAGAAGUCGAAGAAAUUCGACACUAAUAUGUGCGCCGGUGAUGGUGGAAUCAGUUGAUCAGAUGCUGGUCCAAAUGGGAAAGGCAAAGGAAGUUGGCGCUAAUCUCGUUGAAAUUUGGGUGGAUUUCUUGAAGAACUUCAGUCCAAGAUAAGAUCUCAACGUAUUGAUUAACCAAAGUCCUUUGCCUACCUUGUCACUUACAGGCCAUCAUAGGAAGGUGGACAGUAUAAGGGCGACGACAAACAGCGACAAGAUGCCAUGCGUGUAGCCAUGGAAUUGGGAGCGGAUUUUAUCGAUGUUGAACUUAAGGUAACCGAUGAGUUCUACAAUUCGAUAAAAGGGAAGAAGCCGGUGAAGGUAGCCGAUGAGUUCUACAAUUCCAAGACCCACGAGAAGCAUGAGAAGCACUCAUGAAUAAGAUAAGAAGAUGCCCACCAAGGUUCCCGUCUCCUUUAAUCAUUGCCUUCAAUGCACAUAAGCAAGAAAAUCAACCAGCUCUGAGAAAGCAAAAGUGGAAUAAAGGAAAAAGAGGAAAGAGGAAAGCACUUGGAUAAGUAUACUGACCUUUCAUCAUGCAUAUUCCCAUUUUGAAAAACCCAUCCGGAGAACAUGCAAAAGUAUCAAAGUAUGAGAGACCAUGCCUGCUGACCAAACCUGUCUUCAUGUGAAGUUUUCCUUCAACCGCUGCAUAUGUUAUCCCACUAUCCAACCAUAUCUGCAACAGCUUUUUUGAAUGAUGUAAUUUAUUUUUCUUAUCUUUCGAAGACAUCUGUAUAAACCCCCAUCAGAGGGUAGUCACAAAAAAAAAACGGCAAAGCCCAAAAUAAUGGGCUGGAAUGUUAUGUAGAGGGCGAAGGCCCAUAUGCCCAAAAGAGUCAGGUCUUCUAUUAUCACCAACCAGGUGAUCAAAAGUACGUCCAGUACUCCAAAAUUAUUCGGCAGCCUGCUGCUAUUAUCACCAACCAGGUGAUCAAAAGUACGUCUAGUACUCCAAAAACUUAUUCGGCAGCCUACCGCUAUUAUCACCAACCAGGUGAUCAAAAGAACGUACAGUACUCCAAAAUUAUUUGGCAGCCUGCCGCUAUUAUCACCAAUCAGGCGAUCAAAAGUACGCACAGUACUCCAAAAUUAUACAUGAGCAUCACUCAUGUCAAUCAUACAUAAACAUUCAUGAGCAUCACUCAUGUCAAUCAUACAUAACAACAUUCACAUGAGCAUCACUCAUGUCAAUCAUACAAAACAUUCAUCAUCAUCAAAUCAUCAUGUCAACAUUCAUGAGCAUCACUGUCAACAUUCAUGUCAUUCAUGAGCAUCACUCAUGUCAUCAUGAGCAUCACUCAUGUCAAUCAACAUAAACAUUCAUGAGCAUCACUCAUGUUAAUCAGCUUCAAAAGCUUCAUUUACAAAAGCUCCAGCUUCAAAAGCUCCAGCUUCAAAAGCUUCAUUUACAGAGCUCUAGCUUCAAAAGCUUCAUUUACAAAAGCUCUAGCUUCGAAAGCUUCAUUUACAGAGCUCUAGCUUCAAAAGCUUCAUUUACAGAGCUCUAGCUUCAAAGGUUCAACUUGCAAAGCUUCACCUACAAAGCUUCAGUGCAUGGUCUACAAAGAUCGCCUCCGAACAACAGCCAUUUCGGCCCAUACAUGGAUUCAAUUUGAAGUCUCUAGCCAACAGACUUUAUUGACCGAAGACUUGGGGGACUACACUAUGUACCAUAUAUUGGGCCUCAUGAAAAAUACUUGGGGGACUUAGCCCAUUAUUUAUGUACUGAGGAGCGAGCCCUUAUUUUAUAAAAAAGACUCCCUCACUUUCAUUAAAAAGCACCCAUCGCUUAUGUACUGAGGAGCGAGCCCUUAUUUUAUAAAAGGGACUUCCUCCUCUUCAUUAGAGAGCAUCGCCGUCAGCUGAGCAACCACCUCACCGCGAGCAUCAUUCCCAGCCCAUCAUUUAUGUAUUGAGGAGUGAACUCUUAUUCUAUAAAAGGGACUCCCUCACCAUCAUUAGAAAGUAUCGCCGUCUGCUGAGCAACCACCUCUAGCCCAUCAUUUAUGUAUUGAGGAGCGAGCCCUUAUUUUAUAAAAGGGACUCCCUCACCAUCAUUAGAGAGCAUCAACUCUAGCCCAUCAUUUAUGUAUUGAGGAACGACCCUUUAUUCUAUAAAAGGAAGCGAGCCUUUAUUCUAUAAAGGGACUCCCUCACCAUCAUUAGAGAGCAUCAACUCUAGCCCAUCAUUUAUGUAUUGAGGAGCGAGACCUUAUUCUAUAAAAGGGACUCCUUCACCAUCAUUAGAGAGCAUCAAGUCUAGCCCAUCAUUUAUGUAUUAAGGAGCGAGCCCUUAUUUUAUAAAAGGGACUCCCUCACCUUCAUUAGAGAGCAUCGCCGCCAGCUGAGCAACCGCCUCGCCGCGAGCACCAACUCUAACCCAUCAUUUUUGUAAUGAGGAACAAGCCCUUAUUCUAUAAAAUGGACUCCCUCACCUUCAAUGCCACAAGCCGAGUCAAGCAAGGCAACACAAGCAAAGCAGCCUAGCAACAUGUGCUACUUCUAGUUGAGCAUCAUUGCAGAUUAGGCACCGCUUCAUAUCGAGCAUCAGUUCUAGACGACAUCGAGUUACUUCAGCCCACACAUGGACUAAAUUUCAAGUCUCCAGCCAAAAGACUCUCUUGACUGAAAACUUGGUGGACUACUGUUUGUACCAUACUUAGGGCCUCCGUAUUUAGAUCUCGUAUAAAUACUCGGGGGACUCAAAUGUAAUUAUGUAAUAAAGGAAGAGGCAAAUAUGUAAUAAGUGAGGAACCCUUAUUCUAUAAAAUGACUCCUCACUCUCCUCAUUGGGGAAGACCAAUUCUUAGGCUAGAGAUCCCCAAACUCCCUCACAUUCAGAGUGCCUCAUUCUCACAUUACAGAGGCUCUCUCCCUCACAAUCUCCUCAGAGAAAUACAAUAAUCAGUGUGGACGUAGCCCAAACAUUGGAGUGAACCACGAUACAUCUUGUGUUAUUUACAUUUCUUGUAGAUUCACGGUCGAAUUUACGUUGUUCCAAGACCUCCGGUUUUGUGCAUCAACAAUUUACAUUUGAACAUAUAUAUGUGUGUGUUAGGGGUAAUAAUAUGUGAGUAAUAACAUUUAUUGAUUUUAUUUUGAAUAUUAUGGUACAAAUUGUAAAUAUUUUGUAAUAAUAGGUCAAUUACUUCUAUACUUGGCAGUCAUUUUUAAAUUUGGGUUUUAUUUGGAUGUUUAUAACUAGGUGGGUUUUUGUCUAAGAAAUAAGAGUUGCAAGGGUCUAUAUCUAAAGAACCCUAUAUUCUACUAUAGUGAUUCCGUUAUGCAAAAGCAAGUGACAAGAGGAGUAAUUUCAUUUCUUAUACUACUGUUCCAUCUAUCUUGUUUGCAUUCAUGCUUCUAAUAAUUAAGGUCUUGCAUGGAUGUUUUUCAAGUUAAAAAUCCUUUGAAAUGAACGUGAUCGAGCUGGAACAAGAUUUUCAAUUGGUUAUGGAUAUAUAGGUUUCUUGUUUAAUAAGGAUGAUAAUUGAAUAUUGCACUAAAUAAAUAUGUUUAUACCAUACUUAGGGCCUCCGUAUUUAGAUCUCGUACAAAUACUUGGGGGACUUAAAUGUAAUUAUGUAAUAAAGGAAUGAGCAAAUAUGUAAUAAGUGAGGAGCCCUUAUUCUAUAAAAUGACCCAUCACCCUCACAAUUAGGGGAGGCCAAUUCCUAGGCCAUCAGAUACCUCACUCUCUCCCUCAGAGGCUCUGAAUCUCUCUCCCUCACUCCCCUCACAUCUCAGAUAAAUACAUAAUCAGUGUGGACGUAGCCCAAACCUUGGGGUGAACCACGAUACAUCUUAUGUUAUUUACAUUUCAUGCAGAUUCACGGUUGGAUUUACGUUGUUCCAAGACCUCCGGUUUUAUGCAUCAACAUUUGGCACCAUCUGUGGGAAAUCGAUACAAAAAGUUGUGUCGGUUCUCUUUCAUUUUUUUCACCUCCGCCGUGAAUCUGCAAAGAAAACCCAGGAACCAAACAACCCAACACCCACACUCAGAGACACACCCAUUCAAUUUACAGAGAGAAAGAAAAAAAAACUCAAACACAAUACUCUCUCUCAUAUCCAAAUCUCUCAUUCUCUCACAGAGAGCGCACCAAAACUCAAAAAAGGCGUAUUUUAAGCCCAGGUACGAAUAAAACUGCCUGACAUGUGCUCACAAUUAACAUCACCUCACGCCCACAGUUCUGUUUUUACAAGUAGUGAUCGGAGGCAAAAUGCUUUGGUACGACACCUCACUGCGGAAGAAGAUCAAUCAUCCUCCGCCAUGGAUGCUCACAACAACUCCACCUCUGCCUCGCCAGCUUCCAGCUCCACGACCUUGACUCGGUCGAGUUACCGCUGAGUCUAACAGAGUUGGACCCUCGGAUUGCGACCCUCUCCAACCCGUCUGAACCUCAUCGAAGAUGUCGCCGUCGAAACGAUGUCAGGGUAGGACGCCCUCUCCGGUCUCUAUAACCCAUUUCAUUCUCUCUCUCCUGCAAUCUCUAUGAAUUAAAAGGGAGUAAAAGAUGAGUAGUCGAUCGAGUCACACCUAUCUACGUCGGCAAUCUACCUGGAGAUAUUCGUAUGAGAGAAGUUGAAGAUUUGUUCUUAAAUUAUGAGCCUAUUGUUGACAGUGAUCUCAAAAUCCCUCCAAGACCGCCAGGUUAUGCUUCUGUUGAGUAUGAAGAUCCUCGUGAUGCUGAUGAUGCAAUUUAUGGUCGGGAUGGGUACGACUUUGAUGGGUUUCGUUUACGAGUUAAACUAGCACAUGGCGGACGGCACUCCUCGUCACAUCGUUCCAGCAGUUACAGUCGUAGUAGCAACAGCCGUGGUGCUUCUCGGCGCUCUGACUAUCGUGGGAUGGUCACUAGAUUGCCUCCUGCUGCUUCGUGGCAGGAUCUGAAGGGAAAAGCUCUGAUUGCUUGGAGUCUUCUAUUUUUUGAUCAAGAAUAAGCCUAGAGGAGAAGCUGCAGGCAGGUAUAGACUACGCUUGCGGUGAGGGCGUGGCAGACUGCCAUCAGAUCGAGCCGAGGUCUGUGUGUUACGAUCCUAACACCCUCGAGGCCCACGCAUCAUACGCCUUCAACAGUUACUACCAGAAGAAGGCACGUGGAGUCGGUAUGUGCUAUUUUGGCAAGGCAGCCUACGUGGUCUCUCAACCACCCAUCCAGAUAUCCAGAAGGCAUACCUUUGGUUACUACAUUUGUUCACCCCUCAAUGAUUAAGAUGCUUGAUGCUGCUACAGAAGAUGCUCUCGAACGUGAUAACUGGAGCCAUUCAGAAAGGCAUCAAGUUCGGAAAAAGAUAAAGACUCUCAUCAUAAAGGAGCGCAUGUUCCUACUCUUCACAGACGACACCAUGAUGUUAAGGGAAAAGAGAAAGCAAAAGCAGAAAGCAAAAGAGAAAUCAAAAGCAGAAAGCAAAAGAGAAAGCAAAAGCAAUGAAUAAACACCCCACCAGAAUGAUAUGAUUUGCUUUUCUUGUUUUUGUAUAAUGUGAUUUAUUUUUCUUAUCUUUCAGAGACAUCUAUAUAAACCCCAUCAGAAGGUAAUAAAAAAAAUUUAAAAAUUAAAAUAAAAUAAAAGGGCAAAGCCCAAAAUAAAUGGGCUGGAAUGUUGUGUGGAGAGUGAAGGCCCAUAUGCCCAAAAGAGCUAGGCCCUCUAUUAUCACCAACCAGGUGACCAAAAGUACGCCUAGUACUCCAAAAUUAUUCGGCAACCUGCUGCUAUUAGCACCAACCAGGUGAUCAAAAGUACGCCCAGUACUCCAAAAUUAUUCGGCAACCCGCCGCUAUUACCACCAACCAGGUGAUGAAAUGUACAACCCGUACUCUAAUAUCAUUUAGCAACUAGCCAUUCAUGCCACCAACCAAGUGAUGAAAUGUACAACUCGUACUCUCCUUCAUGCCACCAACCAGGUGACCAAAAGUACGCCCAGUACUCCAAAUUAUACAUGAGCAUUACUCAUGUCAUUCAUACAUAAACAUUCAUAAGCAUCACUCAUGACAAUCAUACAUAAACAUUCAUGACCAUCAUUCAUGUCAACAUUCAUGAGCAUCACUCAUGUUAACAUUCAUGAGCAUCACUCAUGUUAACAUCCAUGAGCAUCAGUCAUGACAACAUCCAUGAGCAUCAUUCAUGUCAAUCAACAUAAACAUUCAUGAGCAUCACUCAUGUCAAUCAGCUUCAAAAGCUUCAUUUACAUAACUCUAGCUUAAAAGCUUCAUUUACAGAUCUCUAGCUUCAAAAGCUUCAUUUACAAAAACUCCAGCUUCGAAAGCUUCAUUUAUAGAGCUCUAGCUUCAAAGCUUCACUUGCAAAGUUUCACCUACAAAGCUUCAGUGCAGGGCAUACAAAUACCGCCUCCGAACAACCGCCACCUCGGCCCAUACAUGGAUUCAAUUUAAAGUCUCCAGCCAACAGACUCUAUUGACCGAAGACUUGGGGGACUACAUUAUGUACCAUAUAUUGGGCCUCAUCUGAGCCUCAUGAAAAAUACUUAGGGGACUUAGCCCAUUAUUUAUGUAUUAAGGAGCGAGCCUUUAUUCUAUAAAAGGGACUCCCUCACUUUCAUUAGAGAGCACCCAAUAUUCAUGUACUGAAGAGCGAGCCCUUAUUUUAUAAAAGGGACUCCCUCACCUUCAUUAGAGAGCAACGCCGCCAGCUGAGCAACCGCCUCGCUGCCAGCAUCACUCCUAGCCCAUCACUUAUGUAUUGAGGAGCGAGCCCUUAUUCUAUAAAAUGGACUCCCUCACCUUCAUUAGAGAGCAACGCCGCCAGCUGAGCAACCGCCUCGCUGCGAGCAUCACUCCUACCCCAUCACUUAUGUAUUGAGAAGCAAGCCCUUAUUCUAUAAAUGGACUCUCUCACCAUCAUUAGAGAGUAUCAACUCUAGCCCAUCAUUCAUGUAUUAAGGAGCCGAGCCCUUAUUCUAUAAAACUCCCUCACCUUCAAAUGCCACAAGCCGAGCCAACCAAGGCAACAUAAGCCACGAGCCGAGCAGCCUCGCAGCAUAUGCUACUUCUAGUUGAGCAUCAUUUCAGAUUGAGCACCGCCUCAUAUCGAACAUCAGUUGAAGACGACAUCUAGUUACUUCGGCCCACACAUGGACUGAAUUUCAAGUCUCCAGCCAAAAGACUCUCUUGACUGGAGACUUAGGCGACUACUGUUUAUACCAUACUUAGGGCCUCCAUAUUUAGAUCUCGUACAAAUACUCGGGGGACUUAAAUGUAAUUAUGUAAUAAAGGAAUGGGCAAAUAUGUAAUAAGUGAGGAGCCCUUAUUUUAUAAAAUGACCCCUCACCCUCACAAUUAGGGGAGGCCAUUUCCUAGGCCUGAGGUCUCUCAUAUUCAGAAGAAGCCUCCUCACCCCCAGAGGCUUCACUCUCACCUCACAAACUCUCUCUCCCUCUCAGAAAUACAAUAUCAAUGUGGACGUAGCCCAAACCUUGGGGUGAACCACGAUACAUCUUGUGUUAUUUACUUUACUUGCAGAUUCACGGUCGGAUUUACGUUGUUCCAAGACCUCUGAUUUUGUGCAUCAACAAAAUACAUAAUAAUUCACCGUCAUUCUACGUAGUACUUCGUAUUUAUGCAUGUUAUACGGUACCAACAAAUAAACACAAAAUUGGUGUGUUUUUUUGUUUGAAAUCCGCAUUACAUACAAAAGUUGUGCUCAUCAACUUAAUAAUCCUGCAAUCUGACCAGUUGUCGCUCUGUCUAAACAAUAUACUAGAAUUCAAAAUUAGCAAGCCAGCGUGAUACUUAAAAUAGGGCACAGAAAGCAGAAACCCUACUCUUCCUCUUCUACAUAUAUAUGCUUCUUCAGUAUACAAGACCAUAACAAAAGUUAAACCAUAUAAGGACAACGGUUAAUGCCUAGAACAUGCCACUGUGAACAUUAAACAACAACAUACUAAAUAUAGGUAAAAACAAGACUAAGAAUAUGCAACUAUUGUAAAAGACACAACCAAAACGAAUGCUAGCUAGCUAGCUAGGGAUGGGAAAAAUUAAUAUUCAAAUGUUGUUAGCUAGUUAGAACUUUGAACUCACCUAUUUGCCCUCUUCGAAUGCAACAAAAAUGCAUGUAUUAUUGAGAGAGAUAUGCUAGUCAAAAAGCAGAAGGAAGUGGGUGGGUGGGUGGGGGGAGGGGAGGGUGGGGUGGAGAGAUUCUGUGGUUCGGAACCGGACCACAUGUUUCCAACAGCUAUAGACUCAAAAACAACCUCAUAUCCCACCCCCUGCUAUUGAAGCCCACCGCUAUCCCCACCUGGUCUCACCACCCCCCCUUCCUUCUCUCUCUCUCUCUCUCUCUCUCACAAACACCCUACUCUGGCUCCCGCACCGAAGAGUCUCUCAACGGGGUUGGGGGUGAUGAAAGAAGGAGAGCUAGCGAUCUAUUUUUCUACGUCUAGGAAAGGCUGCAAGAACUUUCUUCCUUCUAAGCCUUCACUUUCCUUUUUUGGUAAACUAAGGCUUCACUUUCCUUGUAUGGAUAAGUUGGUAAACGAAGAAAAAAAAAAAGAAAAAGGAGAGAAAAACCAUACAUUAAAAGUGGAAAAAAUAAUGGAAAAAUAAAUAAACCUUUAUCGUGUAGAGUGUUGGAAGCAACAAGUGUGGGAAUCCUAUUGUCAGAAAUAUUGAGCCUUUUGUUUUGUGCAGUGAUCAGAGGCCUCAGUCCCUUCCUCCUGUGCCUUCUUGUGGUUUAAUUUGCUUGCCCCUUCCUGUUUGUAUGUUUCUUUGUGUCUCACGGUUAGAUUGAUAGAUUCUACUCCAACCCUUGUGUUCUUUAUACUAAUUUACAUGGACGGUACUAGUACAUGGUCUCGCUCUGUACUCUAUUCUAUUGCACAAACACAGACAUUUGAUCAUAAUAAUAUUGAGAUUUUUCUAUAAUUUAUAGAUUUUGUAUCUUAUCCAAGCGUGAUUAUAGCUGUUUGAUUGACUGAUUAAUCAUCCUUACUUUGUAUUACUUUUGGGUUAUACAACUUGUUUUGUACGAUUGUAAAGUAAUUAAGUAGGAUCUCUUGUGUCGACUUAUUACUUUUCGGAUCACACAAGAAGAUAUUUCUCAUAAAUUCUCUCAAAUAAUUGAAUUGGAAUGAAAGAAAUAGGUUUUACAGCAAACCAAUCUAUAAACUGAUGUGGUUCUUCAUUGUAGUUCUUUACUAUAAACUGAUGUCACUUUUUUUUAAGAUCAGACAUUUUAGCGAAUAAAUGUACGUAUUUUUCUAAAUGAAACUCUAUCACAUGAAUUAUUUACUUCUUCCUUUAAUUAUAGCAAUUAGAUUGCUUUUUCAUAAUUCCGUAUUAGGAUAUAUGAAUCGGUCAUAAUUUAUCAUAAUACUUUGGCAUUAUAUAAUUAAUAUUGUUUGUGAAUGCGUUUUUAAUUGUUGGAUACCGAAUACACACUUCAUUACUUUUGCACUAUAGAAUUUGUACUGAAAGUAAACACAGUUGUAGUCGCACGAUCGACCGACCAAACUUACACAUUCAAAAAACUAAAAAUAAACUGGAACCGCCCUUGACAUUGAUAUUAGCUCAAGUAAUUAAUUAAAGUAAUUAGUGGUGGCAUGGAGUUGAGUGGGUGGGAUUAAUUUGUAAGCUUGUGAGGAUCAUUGAUCAGUGCUUCUAUACGCCUCGAACUACACGCACACUUACACACAUACACAUUCACGCACGCAGCAGCAGCAGCAGCAGCUAUUGGGGUUGAGAGUUGAGACCUUCUGCGGUGCCCAAAGUAUAAACCCUUAAGAGCAUCUCCUCCAAAAUGUACACAACAGCUAUAACACUAAAAAAAAAUCACAUUAAUAUUCUCCAACUGAAGUGUCAAAUCUUAUGUGGUGAUGACAUGAAUUGGCAACAAAAAAGGUUGCUGUCAAAUUUGACAGCAGCUUCAAAUAUUUUUUUAUUAAUUAUUAAAUGUAUUUUAUUAAUUUUUAAUUAGUUUAAUUAUUUAUUAUAAUUAAUGUUUAGAUGACCAAUAUUCAUACUUUUUUUUUCUUUUCAAUCAAGGAAGGUGAAUAGAUUAUUAAUUAAACUUUAAGUGUCCUUUAUUAAACUUUUAUUAGUUUAAUAAUUUAUUUUAUAAAAUAAUAAAAUAUUAAUUUAAUUUGACAUAUUGAUUGGAGAACACAACUUUAAAAAAUGUCAAAGUGCCACAUAAACUGUCAAAUUUUAUAUUUAUAUUUUAAAUUUGAUAUCUCCUUUCAAGAUGAUCUAAGACGUUUUAACUGUUAGAUGUUUAUUUAAAAACAUAAAAAUCAAGAUUUAACGCUUGAAAUUCGUAGAAUAUUUUGCACUCCGAAACACUGCACCGUAGGGUUUCUACUUGAGGGAUCACCAUCCUCCAUCAUGACAAGGUCUAAAAUAUCGAUGAUAUCAGAAAUAUCGGUGGUCCAAAAACACGGAAAUUUCGAUGGAAAUAUCGGGAUAUUAUCGAUAUCGAUAAAAAUUGAAUAAAAAUUACGGAAUUUGUAAGAAAAACUUGGAAAUUUUUAUUGAACCUUUGCAGGAUGUUUAUCUAGUCAAUUAUCUAUUAUUUUAUCACAAAAAAAUGGAAGGAAAUGCAUUGCAUGAUGGAUUUAACUAAUUUAAGUUAAUUAUAUAGCGAGCUGGGAAAUAUUGUGAAUGUAAAAAAUUUGUAGUAAUUAAUGAAAGAAGUUUAAACACACCAUAAUCAUUUAUAUAUAAUGAAUUAAUACAAUAUUUUACACUUUAUACAUUGCAUGGUAAGAUACAUGAGUGACUUAGUACCACAUAGAGUUCCUAUCAAGGUCUAAAAUAUCGAUAAUAUUGGAAAUAUCGGUAGUUCAAAAACACGAAAAUUUCAAUGAAAAUAUCAGGAUAAUAUCGAUAUUUUAGACUCAUAAUUCAUGAGUAUGCUGCUUCCUCCUGAGUAGGGGUGGUUCGGUAUGGGAUCCCAUACCGAAACUCUUGUCCCAAUUCCCGAACAGAAAUUUUUAGGAAUCCCAAUUUCAAUACCGAUCCCAAACCAAAUUUUUGGGAAUCCCGAAAUAGUUUCGAGAUUUCGGGACAAAUCGAGAAUCCCGAAAUGGUUUUGGGCUUUUGGACUAAAAUUUGACAUAUUAUGCUUUUGACCUCAAUUUGCCAAUUUGUUUCUACUAAUCUGCCAAUCAAAUGGCAAGGCAUGUUUGUACUAAUUUGUGCACAAAUUUGAGUCCGUGUACACCAGUAAGUAAAAAUGGAUUUAAUAAUGGAUGGAAGGAAAAAGAAAGUCUGUGUACACCAGUAAGUACAAUUGUAGCAUAAAAAAUAAUACGCCAGCUUAAAUUUCUAUAUAGCACAUGAAUCUUUCAUCUCAAUGCAUAUGUGAACCAUCCAGAUGAAGAAUUAUUAAGGAAGGGCAAGGUAUCAAAUAAUCAAAUUUAUAUUCAAUGGUUGAGAUUAAAUCUCAACAUAAUCCGACAGCUAUUAAAAAUCUAAAUAUAUAUUUAAAAAUUAAACAAUAUAUAUAUAUAUAUUUUUUGGUUCGGUUUGGGAAUACCGAAAUCCCAAAAACUUGAGACCGAUUCCCGUACCGAAAUUUUCGGGAAUUUCGGUUUUGGAUUUUUUCGGUUUAGUUUCGGAAAUUUUUUUGUUCGGUUUGGGAUUUUUGGAAUUUUUUUCCGGCCCUACUCCUGAGCUAUAGCUGCUGCCGCUGCAGAAUGUCACGUGCUUCUUCUCUCUCUCUCCCUCUUCAUAUAUGAAAAUAAUAAUAAACAGGUUAAGAAAAUAUUAUAUAUUUUUUGUUCUCGAAUUUAACACACAUAGAACAAUUACUACUGCUACCACACAUGAUGUUGUAUAGUUGUUGACAUAUUUUUGUUGUUGUACUAUAGAUAUUCUUCCCGCCGCGCCUCCUUUUAAUCAGCACGCCUUUGUUUGUCCGCCCCUCUCUUUCUCUCUCUCUCUCUCUGCAUGUCUGAAAACCCUAGCUAAUUCUCCCUCUCAUUAUACUAAUUUUAUAUAUUUAUUCAAUUAAAAUUAAAACUUUGAAAAUAUCUCAUGCACUCCAAAUUUAAUCAGCGCGCCUCCUUUUAUUAUAUGUAUGGAACAAAUUAACGAUAUGAUCCAUUUAUUUUAGGAAAAAUUAAUAUCCGAUCUCUAGUUACUAAUGUUCAUUGACUGGAACCUUAUUAGUUUUUAAAUUUUAAUCUAAGUCCCUAGCAUUAAUGUAAUGAUGAAUUUACAUGUCAAUUACAUAAUUUAUUUAAAUAAAAAUUAAUAAUUGAUUUAGAAUUUUAACACUCACACCUUUAUUAAACUCCUAACUAAUUUUCAAUUCAAAACAUUUCUAAAAUAAAUAAAUAAAUUAGAAUAAGUUUGUACCGUAAGCUUUUUAAUAAACUGUUUUCAAUUUUUUAAUCUUUUAUGCACCCAUUCAUGUAAAAAAAAUUUCAAAUUUUUAAUCUUAAAAUGUACCCAUUCUUAAAUAUACCAAUUUGUUAUAUGUAAAAUGUACCUUUUUUUUUAAUAUAAUAUCUAUUCAAUUUUUCUCUAAUCCAUUUUAAAACUUAUAUGGGUUCAUUUUUUCUUUUGAUUUAAGAAUGUAUCCAUGUCAAGUUUAAUUGAAGAUAUUUACUAAUGUUAUUAAGCCUAAUCUAUUACUUUUUUUUGUGUGGUUUUGAAGAAUGUACCCAUGUUUUAGUACAAUAAUUUUUUUGUUAAUUUUGAUGAUUGUACCCAUGUUUACACACACACACACACACACAAUAGUAUAAUUUAUAUUUUAAUAUUUUUAAUCCCACAAAUUAUAGGUUUUUAUUGAAAAUCUCAUUAACAUAAACAAAUAUAAUUUUUAAUUUUUAAUUUAAAAAAUAGAGUAGCAUACAUAGAAAUAAAUUAUCAUAUUAAUUUCAGGGACUUCGAUAAAAAAUAGAAAACCAAUAAGGCUUCAGUCAAAGAAUAUUGAUAGCUAGGGACCGAAUCCAAAGUCUCAUCUUAUUUUAUAUGUUUGGAUAACUAAACGAUCCUCAAUUUGAAUGACGUUUUGUAGAAAUGAUCUUCAAAUGAAGAUUAAGAAAUUAAAUAGUUCAAGUAUGAAAUAUAUAUAUAUAUAAUAAAAAUAUGUUAUCCGCAUAUCACAAUAGCGCUGUAACUGCAAUUAUUAAUUUUUUCUAAAUAGUUUUGUAUAUGAGAGCCCAAAUUUGAAGGAACGAGAUUGGUGACCACGAGGGGGCAGGCCAUCCCAUUAGCCCAAGACGAAGCGUAAGAGCUGGAGGACUUUUCCUCUCUCAUUUUCUCUCCAACAGUCAAUGCAGCAAUUGCUCUAUGAUACAAUCGUAUGAAACUUACCACGUAACAUCACAUCAAAUAUCAAUCUUCGCAACAUAAAUUGAUCGAGCAAACAUGUCUAGCAAGUCCAAAUGCCUCUCAUUGUUGCUGCGUUUACCUUUUUUGACAUACGAUAAGACAAUCCUUACAUUAAAUUCAUCUAAAUUAUAGAAAAGAGGAUUCAAACUUUUGAAUGCAUGGUGUAUAACACACUAAUGUAUCCAACACGUAUGCGUGUUGGUGACAUCCUUCACCAGUUUUAAUAUCACAUUCAGAAUAAAUGGUUGGAAAAACAAUUUUAAGAUAAUAACGCAGGCAAGUGUGUGUAUAAUCAAUGCAUAGAAUGUAAUGCGCAGAUUAAACAGAAGGAAACAGUAUUCAACUGUUCUACAGAUGAUAGGAAUGAUCAUUAACUCGGAAAACAGAAAAAGGAAAGGAUUUAUCCACAGAAGGUGCACAAUUUUAGCUUACAAAAGGGCAAACCCUGGGAAGAUGCAGAUUAUUUUCCGAAACCCAGAAUGCAAAGCCCAGUUUUGAUUUGAAUAACCAAAAGCUCAUAGAAAGUAUUAAGACAAUAAUAGGAGGGUCCUGUUACUGCGCUGAAGAACCCGUUGGUGCAGACCCAGAUCCAGAUGGAGUAGAUUCCGAAGGUCCAGAACUUGAAGGUGCAGAUCCCGAGGACGUAGAACCUGAGGGUCCUGGCCCUGGUGUUGCAGAAUUCUGAUACUGUUGGUUCAUUGGCAAGGAUGGUGGCGGCGGCACUGCAGAAUUGUAUUGCGGAGGGUGUUGCUGGUACUGUGGUGCUGGUGGAGGCAUAUACCCAUAUGGAGGAGGAUAAAACUGCUGACGAUAUUGGUUAUGUGGUUGAGCCAUGUUCUGAAAAGCAUAAUGCUGACCAUGUUGCUGCCUCUCUGAAGCAGAACUGCGCUCUCCUGACCCUGUGGCCCCACUAGGAGCCCCUUCCUUGGAUGGAAUAAGGGCACCCAUUCUUUGAGGAUCCAUGGACGGAUAGAAUGAUCUCUCCUGUGAAGGUGGAGGCGGCAUGUUGUAGUAGUGCACAGGCGCAGCUGGGUCUUGUGAUUGGUUCUGUUGUUGAGAUAUGACUGCUCGAGGCAACAAACCACUAUGAGCCACCGCCUGCUGCCUCGCUUCAACCAUGCCCUCUGAUUCCUGUUUUGGUGCUUGGGGCCUACCCCACAUUAACUUUAACCUCAAACCCUUUACUACCAGUUUGUUAGAGAGCUCUUCUGCAGCCUUUUCUGCACCUUCUCUUGUUGUGUAGGUUACAAACGCACAUGCUCGUUGAAGUACCAUCCUAACAGAUUCUAUUUCACCAUGAGCAUAAAACUGAUCCCUCAAAUCCUGCUCAGAAAUUCUCGCAUCAAGCCCACCCACAUAUAAGGUUCUUAUGCUUCCAUCCUCAGGAGGUUCCAAGGAGGGCAUCUCUCCGGCCUUGUUAAGAAGCUUCAUUGCCACUGGAUCAUUGACUCUGCAUAUAUUUAGAGAUGAAACAUGAGCACCACAAACUUAAGAAAUCCAUAGGAUUACAAGACAGGCAUGUGCAAAGAUGUGAUGGCAAAAUUGGGAUAUAGUUUUUUGAAAGCAAUAAUGUUGGUUGAAAUGCUAGCAAGGAGCUGAAGUUAUUACACAAAAUAACGAACUCUGAAUUACUAAAUGAGGAAUACGAACAAAUAUAUUACACAAGAUAACUAAAACGGAGAGACUUCAUCUACUUGUUUAAUCUACCACUUUCUUAUACAAGAAUUUUCUCAACUGAAAUUAGGUAGACUUUCAAUCCAACCAAAAAAUUUAGUGAAACCAUUACACAUCAGAAAAAAUGCUCAUGCACAAACAAAUUCACAAGUUAUAACUAGCCAACAGUUGUCAGUUAACUAUAAGCAUAUAACAUGCAACCACAAACCCAUGCCAUGCUUCCAUAUCACCUUGAGAAGAGUAAAGUAUAAGCAUUGGACAUACCCAUAGUAACGAUCUUUGAUGUUUUGCUGCGACAACUCCCCGGUUAUGGGCAUCUCGUGUCUGUAAGGGCACUCAGCACCUCUUGUGCACUCACCACGAAUGUAAAAACUGCAGACAUGUGCUCUGUUCCUUUUGUAAUAGGGCAUUGUUCUUUGAAGCUUCAGAAUAGUGUCACUGGGCCGUGCCUUUCCAUAUGAAGAUUCGUAAUCUAUACCAGCUCUAGCCUGAACUCACCAAUCAAAAUUAAAAUUAGAUGCUAAAGUAUUCCAUAACAUUUACGUAAACUGGUGCCAUAACUCAGACUGAUUCUUCAAGGAAAUGAUAGAAAAGUUACCUUACGGUCGUGCUCCUCGGCGAAAAACUCCCUAUUUACAUCACUCUUUGGAAUGGCAUCAUCAGAACUGAUGGCUAGAGCAGUAUCUCGAACCUGAACUGGCAAACCGUAUUCCAGAUCCAAGAGGCAAACUUGACAAACGUUUUUCAACUUACUGCACGUCUGGCAAAUCUCCGACUUCUUAAAUCGCGCAUCACGACCAGGCCUCCACCUGAAAACUGUGAACGGACGCGUGCAAAUCUUGCACUCCUUGUCAUAAUCAGCUCGUGUCAUCCGUACAUAGGGAUUGUCGCCCAAGCAUGACUCACAGAUGAUGGGAAAAUCUGAUCGUUCCCAACCAUCCGCCUCCACAUUCCUAAGCAACCUGUGUGCCAUAUUACCUAACCUACCAAAAUUUACCGCUUAAAAUUUCAUGAUAUAAUUGGCCUCAAAGUCAGCUGCAUUUAAACAGAACCAUGUUUUUCUUCCUCUCUCUCACUCACUCUCUCUCUCUCUCUCUCUCUUUCUCACACAGACAAAAAAUAUACCCAAUACCCAAAAGCUACAAACUAAAACCUAAUCACCUCAAAAUCCCUAAUCCUUGACCAAAAACAUAAUCAGUCACCUAUACUAUGUACUAAAUCAGAUGCGGAAACUCAAAUCAAAUGCUUCCCCAUCGCCUUAAGUUUGAAAAUUUCAAUCAUCCCUCGAGCCUAAAGUUGAAAAAUUACAAUCCUUUGUCGACUAAAAGAUUCGAAAUACCAGAAAACAAAUAAUUGUACUAAAUAUUAAGUAAAUUUGGUAUAAAUUCAAAUCAAAUAAACAAAAAUCAGCAGAGCUACCGUGUUUAUCUAACUCGAUAAAUAACCAAUGAGAAGCAAAAGAGAACGAGAAAUCUACCUGGAGAUGAGAUUGGCCAACUGCUGUCGGCGACGAAACGGCCGGAGAUGGCCGGCGGUUGCAGCUGAUGUUCAGCGGCUAGGUUUUGGGUUGAAAGGUGCAAGCUGAAGCGCAAGGGAUACACAAUUUUACAGGUGCGAGCAAGGAGAUCAUAUGGAUUCACAGACCAAAACCUAAUUCCUCUCUUCCUCUCGCUGUUUCGCGCUUUGGUUCCCACAAAUUCGUUGCUUUCAGAUAACAGGCUCUUUUAGCUGGACUCCCGGAGGCUUAACGGCCCAAUUUCUUGUAACUUCUUUUUACGCCCUUUAGAGGCCCAUUAAAAGUUGUAACUUUUUUUAUUCUUUUUCCUGGGUUAACCGCAAUAAAAAUAGAGAACUUUAACGAAAAGAUUCUGGUACUCUUUAUUUUAACGAAAAAUCACAUUUUUACAUUAAAAAGUCAAUCAUGGUACUAUUUACUUUACCCUUUAUUUUGUCCUUAUCGUUAAAACUCAAAAUUUUCAAACUCUUUUCAUUAGUUUUCCUAAAAAUAUAACCAUUAUUUACAAAUCUUUACGCCAUUCAUUUAGCUUAAUUGUCCAAUUAUUAUUAUUAUUUUUACAAAAUAUUCAGAUAACUCAAUAUUUUAAUACAUAGACGCCAGAUUGAUGACACGUCUAGGAGAUGAAAUAUUGCAUAUGUGACUUCAAUCUACCGUCCAACGUAGAAAAAAAUUGGGCCACAGGGUGCUUAUUACAAAAAGAAGUUGAUAGUUUAACCAUAUAUACUAUGUGAGAGAGUUGUGAAAAUAAUAAUCAACAUUGUAGAAUUUUUUUAAUGAUUUUGUAACUGAAGGUAGACAUAUUUGGUAAUUAAUCUCAGAUUUAAAUCCACUAUAUAGGAUUACCUUCCAUAUUACAUCCCAUCUAACUCCUACAAAAAGGGUCCUUAGAGUGAAGAAAAUUUCACACUUGAAGUAUUGCAGCAAACUGAAAUCCAUCACGAGAGAGAGGCUCAAUCAACAAUUCGAUUUCAUUUUUCCAGAUGGAAGGAAGAGCUGCAAUGCGUUCGACACUCGUGUUUGCUUUGGUGGUGCUGACAUUCAUAGCGGCAAACCAACAUACUGUUGUCGUUGAGGGUUCGCGCUCUCCAUUGUCGUUCAACGUCCAACAAAGCCCGAGCCCUUCUCCUGGUUCAUCCGACUGCCCUCCACAAGAAUGUGAAGCUUCAUGCAGGGCUGAACUGCUGGGGGAUUACAUAGGCUUCCAAUGCAUGCCUAUUGGCGACGGAACUGUUUGUGUGUGUUUUUUUCAAAGAUACUGUAAUUAGCCCUGCGCCUAAUAAUGUGGUAUCGUAAUUAGCCUCUAAUAAUAAUGCAUGCAUGCAUAAAUUAAUAAAGAAAAAAAAUCAUAUUUAAGUUGGUGAUCUUUGGUUUCUAUGGACAAACAUAUUAGCACCUAUAUCAAAUCCUAUACAUAUCCUUUCGCAUAAGUCCACUCACAUAGCAACUGAAAAUUCAUCAAGGAAGUCUCCCAAUAUUCUGUCAUAUACAUAUAUAACAUUGUAUUUGCAAUGGAAGGAAGAGCUGCAAUGCGUAUGACAUUGGUAUUAGCUUUGUGCUUCUUUACAUUCUUGGCUUCCAAGCAACACUAUAUUGGUGCUGACGCCCGCACAGCUCCAAGCCCAGGCAGCGCGGGUCGUGGUGGUGGUGGUGGUGUCCUUACAGUGUUCACUCCAAGCCCUUCUCCUGAUGUGUCCAUCUGCAGCGACGCUGAUUGUAAAGCAGGCUCUAUUGAUGAGCUCAAGGGUGAAUACUCGGGUUCUCAAUGUGUGGAGGUUGAUCAAGGAGUCGUUUGUGUGUGUUUUACCAAAGAUUAAUUACAACUAUAAGAGCUGAUCUAAUUAAUCCACUAAUAUAAUGCAAGAUGGAUAAAUAAAAUAACAUCUUCACAUUGUUUUGUGAUCUAUUUCUAAGCACAUUUUGUUGGGGGUGAAACUUUGUUUGUUUUGGAUACGAGACGAUAUAAAUACGGUAACAAAAUAAAUACGUUAGUGUAGCCUCAUGCGAAAAAAACUUCACGACACAAGGAAAACGCUAACUUAAAAUGGACCCUUAGUUAUUCAAUUUUUCAUAUCAAUUAUGUGAUAAUCUGAUGUUCCAAAUUACAACCCUCGGUUUAUUGCCCCCACAAAAGAAAUCAUCCUACACCAUUUGGCUAUACCUGCUUUCUUUGUCAUGCAUUUUAAGCAUCCAAGUUAUUUUUUUUAUACCAACAAUGCUGAGCAUGCGGGAAUCGAACUUGCGGCCAGGCCUCGAUCAUCACUUCAGUCACAACCCCCCAACCCAAAUGUGGUACAUAGUUGACUAACUAGAAAGUCAUCAUUAUAGGAACUGAAAUAUAUAUACUUGACAAGAACUAACUGAUAUAUUCAGUAUUGAUGUUUAAGUACAGUUCUUUAUCAAUACUAAAAUAUGAAGGCGAUGGUAUAAAGUUUGCUUCUAAACUCACUCACACAACAUGGCCAGAACUUCGGAUUCAUUGAAGAUGGUUACAUGGAAUUUUAAUUUUUACAGUGGGUGUAAAAUCAAUACUGCACGUAAUAAUCAAGGCAAAAUCCCUUUGGGGAUGAGGACAUCCCCGAUGUUGUUGUGCCAUGGGUCAGCCAAGUGAGUAGCCAGGUUCUCCAAUGGUCCUGUGCCAGGGUACGCCGAUUGUUGAACAACAAACCCAACGAAAGCCAACAACGCGAGCCGGCCUACACACUCAUCAAUCAAUAAUUAGAUCAUCUGUAGUUUAUAGUCCGAUAACAUGGUUUUGUAUAAAAUGUGACAUAAGAACGUAACGUCUUUGUACUCACCAUUUUUUAUCUCUUUGACUUUGUACUCCUCGAACUUCUUGGGGUCCUUGGAGUAGCCCAAGGGGUCAAAAGCGCCACCAGGGUACUUCUUCUUCUCAGGGUCCUUCUCCAUGCUGCGUUGGUGUUCUACAAAGGCAAUGGAAAGGAAUUCGAUGACCAAAAUUGUAGGCAAAGUGCCCCAUGGAACUGGGUUGCCUAAGUAGGUCGCUUGACCUCCUGGAACGGCAGCCCACUCUUGUGCUUUUACCCAGUUGCCCAAUCCCAAAGCCUCUGGUACAAGAAUCCCUGGCUGCAAAAGUGUGUUUACAAGGUUAAUUUAGUCACUGCAAAGUAAAUAAACUGGAUGCAAUUUUUAAGUUACUAUUGUAUGAUACUUACUACAGCAAGCAUUGCCCAUCUGCAGUGAAUGAGCUCAGACUCCUUGAACCUCUCCAAGUUCUCGGGCACUUCUCCUAGCCGAAGUGGGUCAAAUCCAAAGUCACUGAAAAUCCCCAAGCACCAAAUCUUAACACAAAGUCACCAAAUUAUAAUAUGAUUUCUUUUCCAAACUAAUCAACAUCAGAAGCUAAUUAAUAUCGCAUAAUCAUCUAUUUUACUAAAUAGUAUCUUAGGGUUGCGAAAUUUUGAUCACCAAAUGAUGUCUCACUGUGAAAUUUAAUUCAAAUUUAGGUCUGCACUUAAUCUUACUUUUUUUAACAAGAUACGUACGUAAUAACAUAUUAUUUGACUAAUAAUUUUGGUGGCUGUAACAUUAUUAAAGUAGUAUAUUUCGUUACCCGGGUGCAGAGCCAUCAAGGUAAGGAGGCCGGGGCUCGCCGGGCAUCCAGUCGGCUGACAUGGAGAACCUUGAG
rnacentral:lncRNA from 1 species